UUGAUUAGACCCAAACCAGCUCGAAUCAGUAGCAUCAUUUUCUAUAUAAAGGCCUCCUCCACCUACAAACCAUUCCUCACACAAAACAUAAUCAUGGAGUGGUGCAAGAAGUUCGCUUUUCUGAUGGUUGCAAUGGUGCUUCUUCAAUCCAUGGUGCCUCCGACAGCAUUAGCUGCUCGUAACAAUGUUAUGGAAUACAAUCCAUUGGCAAGCGUAUUCUCGAGGGAAGGCCCUGGCUGCAUCGCAAAAGGCGGGUUUUGCUUGUUUGACCUAACCAGUUGCUGUAGGCCAUGCGGAUGCCUUGCAGGGUGGUGCUAUAACAUUGAUCAUGAUUGCAAAGAGUACACAUAAUGGUCGCUACUGAGUUAAAAAAAAACAGUUCUGAGUCAAAAAAUGACAUGGGAUUUGAUUAUAAAUGUUCUAUAUAUAACAUAUGUAUUUGAAUAAAGAAUCUCGUGUUAUGUCCCUGUUUAAUUGAGCUGUGCCAUUGUUGUAAGAGUCGGUGUUUUCCGUCUUCUCGUUGGUGUGUUGGUACUGUGUGUACCCUUGUUAUUGGCAUGUCUAAAAAUAAAUAUAUAUGUCAAUCAACUAAGUUUUAUGAGUACUUACCUGCCUCUCUUAUCUAAUUCAUGGACGGAUCACAUUUUAUAAAUUGAGCGAGGAGAUGUUAUUGUCGAGACUUGAAUCCUGGACUUUAAAUAUUAACACACAGCUCUUAACUACUUGCUCAAUUAUGGUAAAUAUCAUUAAUAAAUACUAAUAUCAACACGGAUGUUGGAAAUCACCACAGUUGGGUUGGGUGAAAAUCAAUAUGGAUGGAACGGUUGGGCGAAUGACUGAUAUAGCGACAGCAGGAGGAGUCAUCAGAGAUCAUAAUGUGAAGUGGCUGUGAGGCUGUUAUAGCAAUCUUGGUUCGUGUUCUGUGCUUCAUGCUGAGUUAUGGAGUGGUUGGGAGGGUUUCUUUCUGGCAUUGAAUUGCGGGUUUAGCAGGGUGGUUUCAGAAAUGGAUAAUGUAAAAAUAUUAUGUUCUCAGGAGAAUAAGGAAUAUACGGGUUAGCCAUGGGAAGUGAAGAUACAGCAUGCUUUGGUGAGGGUAAUUUUAUUCCAAAUGGUCUUGCAAACCAGCGGGUGAAUUCGAAUCCAGAAACACUUGUACUUAUCAGUGCACUAGACGAGAUCUUGAGAGAAUUACAUGAUGAAGCAUGCCAAAUUGGGUAUGGCAGGGUGUGAGUGUCUUAGUUGUAACUUUGUAUAGCUUUUUAUUUUACUCACGAAUUAAAAAAUAAUAUAAAUUCACGUAACUAAAUAAUAUUGCUUAAAGUGGUAUGAAGUAUGGAAUACUGGGGAAUUAUUAUACUUCUGUUUUUUGAAUUAUAUUUUAAAAUUCAUAUAUGUUUGUGGGAUCAAUUGGAUAUAUAAAAAGGACUGAUGUAAUUAUGCUUUCACUUUCAUUAUUAAGAUUAUCAAUUUAGUUUGUUAGUUGACAUAUAUGUUUAUUAAUAAAGUUAGCUUUUGAAAAAUAAAUAAAGUUAGCAAGAUUUAUGUACCAUCCUACCUAGGGUGGGACGAAUUUUUGCUUGUCCCUACUCAAACAAGAUGAACCCAACUUAAAUUUUAUUUAAUUAUUUUGUUUUUUAUUUUAAAAAUUAAUUUUUUGAGUUUACACAUAUAUAUAAUUAUAUGGCAGUGACAUUUUUGCAAAUAUUUAGGGACGGGUUGAGGGGAUUUACCUCAAACCCAAUUCCAACCCCUUAGCAUUUGAAUUUAUUGAAAUGCUUGGAGCAGAAGUCCAUUUAUUAUUGUUACAGUAUGCUUUUUUUUGUGCAAAGCUUGCUCUCGGAUUGCAAAGAAAAUCAAUUGGAUUUUGAUAGGAAGCUUUACCUAGUAUCUUUAUUUUUGUAAUCCCAGCCUUAUGGAUUUUAAUUUUAUGGUAAAAGUUCUAGGAAAGCCCUUAUACUUAAGGAGUGGAUUGCAUUUCGGCUCUUUCUAUUGAAAAAAUAAGUAAAUUAAUCUUUAUAUAUUUUGAAACGUGUAAAUUAAUUCGUCCAUUAAAUUUUAUGACGUGGAACGUUAAUUUAAAUGGUUGAUUACUAGUUUAAUCCCUGAACUAUAGUUAAAAUAUCAUUCUUUUUAAAAAUUCUUAACAAUAAUUCUAAAAAAUUAAAAAAAAAUCUUAAAAAUAAAUAUAACUUAUUAAAAAUUAUGUUAAAAUAUUUUAAAAAAUAAAAAUUAUAAAUAAAAAAUUCUAGAAAACAAAACUUAUAUCUAUUUUUUUUUUAAAAAUUGUCAAACUUUCAAGUCGAAACUUGAAACCAUCAUAUUUUUUUACAAGACUUUCUUCCCUGUUGUAAAAAACCCAAAAAAUCAAAAAGGUUUCUCAUGCUUGAUUGAAUUCAUAAAGAAAUAAAUAAAAACUUGAUUGAACCCAAGAAAAAUUAUCUAAAAGUUUUGACUACUCAUUUUCAAAUUUCUCAUACUUUCAUAAAUAUUCAUUUAAUCUUCGUCGCCUAUGCUUCCAACUAAAAUGUAUAUAAAAAUUUAUUUAAUGUUUACUUUAUUCUACAUUAGUGAAUACUCAUUUUUGCAUCUCCUAAUGAUGUAUAAUCAUAUUACAAAAUUUUGAUUACUCAUUUUCACAUCCCCUUAGCUAUUACAAACUUUCCUAUUUGAAAAAUCUUAUUGUUUUAUACCCUAGAAGCCUUAAUCUUUAAGCUACUGGGUUUUGAAUUUUUAAUAUAAAUGUGUGGGUUUUAUCUUUAAGCUUUAAUCUUGUUCGAAAAUUAGCAAAAGAUAAAUACAUUAAAAGCACAAAUUUAAAUUGCUAUCAUACCCUGAACCUAAACCCAUAAUUUAAUAGAAGACCCACCUUUGAACCGAUCUGACUCGACUAUUUUUCUAAUUUCACCCUAUAUGACCUACAUCGAACUUAAUUAUUCGAAAAUAAAAUUAGACCCAAACGGAUCGGGUCAGCACAAAACCCGUCAAAUUCACCAGGACGAAGACAAGGGGCAAGUAAUGCCCAAAAACAUAUAUAUAUAUAUAUAUAAUUUAGAUCUUUUAACAUUUAGGAAAUUUUAAAUUAAAAAAAAUACAUUUUAACAUUUUAAUCUCAAUAUUUAUGAUUCAUCUCUAUAUCCUUUUAAAAGUAUUUUUCUGGGUUCACCCUUACUCCAACCAUUCGUACUGCUUAGUAACAUAUAAACGUAACAAAUUAUUUAUCUCUCCCAUCAGUACUACAUGCACAUAAGUGCAUUCACUAUUCCAUGCAAUAUCUCAUUUGUCACAUGCAUUACGAACCUGGUCCCCAUCACUACAUGCACAUAAAUGCAUUCAUUAUUCCAUGCAAUAUCUCAUAUGUCACAGGCGUUACGAACCUGGACCAUCAUCUUUUCUAUAUAAAGGACCCUCCACCUACGAACAUUCCACACACAAAACAUAAUCAUGGAAUCCUUCAAGAAGAUCGUUUUUCUCAUCGUUGCUUUAUCUCUAGUUCUUCAAGCCACGGUGCCUCCAAACUGCGUUAGUCCUCUCGUAACGAGGUUAUGUCCUCUGCUGCUGUAUCGAAAGUGGCUAACGAUUCCAACGGUUUGGCUAAGGUUUUCGAGAAGGUAGGCCCUGGCUGCAAACCUAAAGGUUCGUUUUGCUUGUUUGACCUAACCAGUUGCUGUAGGCCUUGCGGAUGCCUUGCAGGGUGGUGCAAUAACAUUGAUCAUGAUUUCAAUUAAUGAGUACACAUAAUGGUCAUUACUGAGUCAAAAAAAAAAAAAAACACAGCUCUGAGUCAAAAAACGACAUGGGAUUCGAUUAUAAAUGUUCUAUAUAUAACAUAUGUAUUUGAAUAAAGAAUCUCGCGUUAUGUCCCUGUUUGGUUGUGCUGUGCCAUUUGUUGUGAGAGUUGGUGUUGUCCGUGUUCUCUUUGGUGUGUUGGUAGCAUUUUUCUCAAAAACAAAUUAAGUGCCUUUCACAAUUUUAAAUAUAAAAUAUUUAUUUUAUAUUAUAAAAAAUUAAAAUUAAUUAUUCGAUUCGAUUCAGUUUUCUAACUUGAAAGCCAAAACGAGUGAGUAGUAGCCUACUAGAGUAGAUUGAAUUAGCAAAUCGACACUAGUUUAUACGUGCUUCCUUUUGAACCGCUUCGAAAUCAGCUCCAAAAAACUGCUAGAGUCUCGAGCAACUUAAAAACCUCAAAAAAAAUUAUAGAGCUGAAAAGCACAAAAAAUGUACCGUUUCAGAGGCAGGUGAGCUGAAAAACUAGCAGCUGAAAGGGACAAACCCGUCACGUGCAGCUCUCCAAUAGCAGGUCAUGGAGUUCAGUGAAGAAAAACCACAGCAGGCAUAAGCAGCACAAAACCAGACCCAAACAGCUCAAUAAAUAGAAUUGAAACAGUUGAUUAGACCCAAACCAGCUCGAAUCAGUAGCAUCGUUUUCUAUAUAAUGGGCCUCCUCCACCUACAAGCUAUUCCACACACAAAAAACAUAAUCAUGGAGCGGUGCAAGAAGUUCGCUUUUCUGAUGGUUGCAAUGGCUCUGCUUCUUCAAUCCAUGGUGCCUCCGACAGCAUUAGCUGCUCUUAACAAUGUUAUGGAAUACAAUCCAUUGGCAAGCGUAUUCUCGAGGGAAGGCCCUGGCUGCAUCGCAAAAGGCGGGUUUUGCUUGUUUGACCUAACCAGUUGCUGUAGGCCAUGCGGAUGCCUUGCAGGGUGGUGCUAUAACAUUGAUCAUGAUUGCAAUGAGUACACAUAAUGGUCGCUACUGAGUUAAAAAAAAACAGUUCUGAGUCAAAAAAAUGACAUGGGAUUCGAUUAUAAAUGUUCUAUAUAUAACAUAUGUAUUUGAAUAAAGAAUCUCGUGUUAUGUCCCUGUUUAGUUGAGCUGUGCCAUUGUUGUAAGAGUUGGUGUUUUCCGUCUUCUCGUUGGUGUGUUGGUACUGUGUGUACCCUUGUUAUUGGCAUGUCUAAGAAUAAAUAUAUAUGUCAAUCAACUAAGUUUUAUGAGUAUUUACCUGCCUCUUUUAUCUAAUUCAUGGACGGAUCACAUUUUAUAAAUUGAGCGAGGAGAUGUUAUUGUCGAGACUUGAACCCUGGACUUUAAAUAUUAACACACAGCUCUUAACUACUUGCUCAAUUACGGUAAUAUCAUUAAUAAAUACUAAUAUCAACACGGAUGUUGGCAAUCACCACAAUUGGGUUGGGUGAAAAUCAAUAUGGAUGGAACGGUUGGGCGAAUGACUGAUAUAGCGGCAGCAGGAGGAGUCAUCAGAGAUCAUAAUGUAAAGUGGCUGUGUGGCUGUUAUAGCAAUCUUGGUUCGUGUUCUGUGCUUCAUGCUGAGUUAUGGAGUGCUUGGAAGGGUUUCUUUUUGGCAUUGAAUUGCGGGUUUCGCAGGGUGGUUUCAGAAAUGGAUAAUGUAAAAAUAUUAUGUUCUCAGGAGAAAGUUGGGCACAAUGCUAUAGUCAGGAGAAUAAGGAAUAUAUCGGUUAGCCAUGGGAAGUGAAGAUACAGCAUGUUGUUGGUGAGGGUAAUUUUAUUCCAGAUGGUCUUGUAAACCUGGGGCGGCUGAAUUCGAAUCCAGAAACAUAUGACUUACAUGAUGAAGCAUGCCAAAUUGGGUAUGGUAGGUGUGUAUCGAAAAAAGGGUAAAUUAGUAUUUAUACAUUUCGGAACGUGUAAAUUAAUUCUCUAUUAAAUUUUAUCUAUUAAAUGAUGAUAUGAAAUGUUAAUUUAAAUGGUUGAUUACUAAUUUCUUUUUUAUUGUAAGAAACCCAAAAAAUCAAAACUAAUUCUCAUGCUUGAUUGAAAUCAUAAGUAAAUAAAUAAAAACUUGAUUGAACCCAAGAAAAUCAACAAGAAGUUUUGAUUACUCACUUUCAAAUUUCUUAUGCUUUUGUAAAUGUUCAUUUAAUCUUCGUCGCUUAUACUUCCGACUAAAAGGUAUAAAAAAUUUUAUUUAAUGUUUACUUUCUUCUACUUUAGUGAUUGCUCAUUUUUACAUCUUUUAUGCUUUCAUAUCUCUUAAUGAUGUGUAAUCGCCGUUUAUAAAAUUCCGAUUACUCAUUUUCACAUCCUCUUAACUAUUAUAAACUUUCCUACUUGAAAAUCUUAUUGUUUAAUACCUUAGAAGCUUUAAUUUUAAGUUACUGGGUUUUGAAUUUUUAAUAUAAAUGUAUAGAUUUUGAACAAUUUAAAAUUUUUGAAAAUAAUGUUUUAAAUUUAUAGGAAGAAAUAAAAUAUAAAAAGUGAAAUUUUAAUUUAAAAUAAAAUCCUAUUGCCAUCAACAUGUGGAGAAGGAGUGAAAGGAGUUUUUUGUCUUCAUCUUAUUCUUCCUCGCUAAAAAUAUAUGCAAAUUGAAAGGUUUUGUCUCCUGUAAAUGUGUUAUUUCUUUGGUUUGAUUUUAUUUCAGCAAUAAUAAAAUCAUUAAUUUAUUGAAAUGAGUGUUUUUAGAAUUACACUGAAAGCGUCUUCAACAGAUAAUGUUAGUGUUUCAUUAUAUUUGAUAGUUAUACUUCUCAUCAAAUCAAGAAUUUUAUUAAAAAAGAAAAUGUUUCCCUAGCAUUAAAAUAGUGUUCAGUUUUUAAAAAAAAUAGUAACACCAUAAUUCACCAAAAAAAACAUAAGUUUUUGCGAUAAUAAAUUUGGGUUUGAUUUUGUUUUAACAUAUUUUUAAUAUAUUUUGAUAAUUUUUAUUUAUUUUUAAUUUCUUAGAGUUAUUGUUAAGAAAUUUUUUAAAAUAUCAAAGUUAUAUUUUAAUUAUAUUUCAAGGACCAAAUUAAUAAUUAACCAUUUAAAUUAACAUUCUAAAUUAUCAUUUUUUUCAAUAGAAUGGCCUAAAUGCAAUCCACUGCUUUUUAUCAAAUUUAAUACCUAUUAAGAUUCAUUCUAAUUUUAAUCUUCAGCUGCAUGAAGGGAUCUAUUAAAAUAAUGUUAUCCCACUUAUUCUAAAUUUUAAAUUUCACGUAAUCUUACGAUUUUAUAAGUUGUAUGAUUUAACCUAGACUCCAAAGAAAAGAGAGAAAUUUGAUGCAUCAAGACUUCCAACCACUAUGCCAUGCAAGUCACGUAAUUUGUCAUGCAAUCCAUAUGCUUAUAUAUGCUUUUUUUUUUUCUUUUAAUUUUUUUGCUAAGCCACUAAUAUAUGUUCAGUAUUUCUAUAUAAAGCACCUCCAUUUAUACAUUUCCAUCAAAUUUAUGAUCAGAUUUAACACUAAGAAAUGGAGUACUGCAAGAAGCUUGCUUUGGUGUUGGCGAUNNNNNNNNNNNNNNNNNNNNNNNNNNNNNNNNNNNNNNNNNNNNNNNNNNNNNNNNNNNNNNNNNNNNNNNNNNNNNNNNNNNNNNNNNNNNNNNNNNNNGGUUGUGGCAGCCACCACAACGGCAACCGCGGAUCGCAACGAGCUGACGGAAACUCUUUCCAUCGAAGCAAUUGUUUGAACUCUAGCUUGACUAACAUCAUCAAGAACCCUUUGGGCAAUAUUUUCGACGUUAAUGGCGAACCUGUAGUGGAAUGCAACCCUGAUGAUCAAAACUGCAUUAAAAAAUAUGGAUUUUGCUUGUUUCAGAACAAGAUUUGCUGUGAUGACUGCACGUGCUUCGGGUUGUGCGUGCUUUGCAGACAAAAAUAAAGACAGUGACUGAUCAGGAAGGGAUCUCAGGAAUCAAUGUUUUAUUGUCUUUCUUUUUGUACCUAACUAUGGUGCUGGUACUGUUUUCAUGUUUUGUUGAUGUUUGCGGACUUAAAUUAUCAAUAAGAUCGCAUUUAUUAAAAGUUAAGUAUUUUUCCUCAGCUAUAUAUAUAUUUGCUGGGAGAAGGCUUACUCCGGAACCUCAACGGGUCGGUAUGAUCUCAAGUCUGAGGUUUUUUUUUUUCUGUAAAAAGCCCAAGUGUUUAAGGCAUUAGAUUCAUAGAAUCUUAUCGAGAUCAAAUCAUAUAUAGCGCACAGCCGCCUAUCAAAAGAUAUAUAAGCAUUUUACUAGGGUUUGAACUUGUACCCUUAAAUGAUAACAAAUAGGGUGAAGUCAAAAAACUUUUUUAGGGGUCGAAAUAAGAGUAUUUUACAAAAAUAAUAUAAAAAAUAUAAAAAUAGUAUAACUUUUUUUUUAUUUACUAAAAUGGUACCAAAAAAACAGUUAAAAAAACGAAAGAAGGUGAGUUCUACAUGGUCUACAAUUUCACGGAAUGAUUUCGUGAAAAUUUCGUCCGAAAAUUUUGACGUUUGGGCACUCAAUUUAGUCAAAAAGACUAAAUUGUAAAAAAUUCAAAAGUUGAGUUCUACAUGUUAAAGGUGUCCAAUUAUUAUGAAAUUUUAAAUUGGAGGUCCUUAAAUAGUAAUUAGACCAUUGGUUAAAUUGUGGACAAAAAUGGACAUGAGAAAAGUGAAAUAGGAUAUUUUUAAGUUAGGGGCAUUUUGGUAAUUUGGUAAUUAAAUGGACAAAAAGACAAAAUAAAAGCCAAAAACCCUUGUCCAUCUUCUAGCAUGACCGAAUAUGUCAUGGAAGCCAUGGCUAGGGUUUUGUUCAAGCUUCAUAGUAAGUCCAUCUUUGCCCCGUUUUUAAUGUACUUUACAUUUUUGAGAUCCUCGUAGCUCGGUUUAUUUAUUUCUACCGUUAUUUUGAGCUUGGGUUUGUGUUUAAAAAUUUACCCAUAGGUGACAUGCAUGUAUUUUGAUAUUUUAUGGAAGAAUAUGAAUGUUUGGAGUGUGAAAAACAAUUUUUACUAAGUGAUUUUUGAUGAAAUUGGAUAAAAGAUUAAUUUGUAAAAAGUUGUAAAAUGUGUGUAAGUGUGUGAAUAAGUGAAAAUUUUGGACUGCUAUAGUUAUGAAAAUGGUUAGGCUCAGCCUAAAAUUCAAGGAAAUUGAAUAAAAAUUAUUUUACGAGCCUAGGGCAAAAUCGUAAUUUUGUGAAACUUUAGGGGCGAAAAUGUAAUUUUGCCAUAAUGUGAUUUUUUGAACUAGAUUGAAUAAUGUGAGUAUUAAAUAAGUGCAGAUAUAAGUGUGAAUUUAUGAACAAUGUGCUCGAUAUUUAAUCGAACCUUUGGUAAGAUGAAAUGUAGUAAGUGAAAUUAUGAAAGAGUAAAAUUUACAACAAAACAGCUUUGGAUAGCAGUAGUCGUGUGAAUUUGAAAAAUCACUAAAAAUGAUAGAAAUUCAAUUAGAGGUUGAAUGAGAUAUGAAAUUAAAUCUUAUUGAGUCUAUUUUCACAUAAAAGAAACAGAGUAAACAAAAGAAUUGUAUAUUAUGAGAUAUUUGAAUUUUAGUGAGACAGGACUAGAAUGAUUUCGAAAUCCCCUGUUCUGACUUUGUAAAAUCAUUAAAAAUUGUACAGAAAUAAUUAUGGGCUAAACUUUAUGUUUUUAGAAUUAUGAAUAAGUUUAUUUUCAAAAGAAGCAAACAAGAACAUUAUCCGAAUUCUGUACAAUGAGAUAAUUAUUUUUUAGUGAAGAGGGGUCAGAACUGUCGAGCAGUGAAACAGGGGGAACUUUAAAGAAUAAAAUGUACUUAUUGAAUAAGACAAAAUUCUGAAAAUUUUAUGGUAAGAAUAUAUGUCAGUCUAGUUUUGGGAAAAAUUAACGAAUCUUAAUUUGGAGCUCUGUAUCUCGAGAUAUAAAUAAAUUAGUGACUCUGACUUAGAUAGACAGCUUGAAUUUACAUACAGGAAAAUAGUGAAAGUAUGGAUAAUGUUGUUUAAGUGUGUUAUACACAUUAAGGAUGUGGAAUGGAGAGGAGGAGGAGGAAAAUUGGAAAAAUAUAUGAAUGGUCAUGCAUUAUUGGUCAUAUGCUCGAUUAUAAUUGAUAAAUGAUGAAAUAGAAAUGAUGUUUAUAUUUGUGCAUUAUUGGUCAUGGUUUAAGCUGAUGUGGGAAAAUAAAGUUUCAUCGUAUGUAUGUAUGGUAUAUUUGGUAUAUGAUUUGGCAUGAAGUAAUGUCAUGAAUGGUUUAUGAAUUAACACAUGUCGGUAAGUUUACGAUAAAUAAAUGCAAUAAUUCAAUAAUUAUUAUUAAUGUUGUUAUUUUUCAGCAAUUAUGUAUUUAUUUCAUGGAAUUAUUUAAUGUUGACUCAAGUAUGAGAUGACAGAGAAUCAGUGAUAAAAUGUCCCGUUGAAAUAUUAGGAAUGUAUCGGAUACAAAUGUCAUGACAUUAAGGGAAUGAGAUCUCAUAUAAGACCAUGUCUGGGACAUGGCAUUGGCAUUAUUGAGGUUAUGAGAGGUCCCACGUAAGACCAUGUCUGGGACAUGGCGUUGGCACCGAGAUAAGAGGUCCCCCGUAAGACCAUGUCUGGGACAUGGCAUCGGCACCGAUAUGAGAACUCCCAUGUAAGACCAUACCAUGAGAACUCACAUUUUAUAAAUUAAGCGAGGAGAUGUUAUUGUGGGGACUUGAAUCUUAGAGUUUAAAUAUUAACACACAGCUCUUAACUACUUGCUCAAUUAGGGUAAAUAUCAUUAAUAAAUACUAAUAUCAACACGGAUGUUGGCAAUCACCACAGUUGGGUUGGGUGAAAAUCAAUAUGGAUGGAACGGUUGGGCGAAUGACUGAUAUAGAGGCAGCAGGAGGAGUCAUCAGAGAUCAUAAUGUGAAGUGGCUGCGAGGCUGUUGUACCAAUCUUGGUUCGUGUUCUGUGCUUCAUGCUGAGUUAUGGAGUGCUUGGAAGGGUUUCUUUCCGGCAUUGAAUUGCGGGUUUCACAGGGUGGUUUUAGAAAUGGAUAAUGUAAAAAUAUUGUGUUCUCAGGAGAAAGUAGAGCACAAUGCUAUAGUCAGGAGAAUAAGGAAUAUACCGAUUAGCCAUGGGAAGUGAAGAUGCAGCAUGUUGUUGGUGAGGGUAAUUUUAUUCCAGAUGGUCUUGUAAACCUGGGGCGACUGAAUUCGAAUCCAGAAACAUAUGAAUUACAUGAUGAAGCAUGCCAAAUUGGGUAGGGUAGGUGUCUAUCGAAAAAAACAGUAAAUUAGUAUUUAUACAUUUUGAAAUGUGUAAAUUAAUUCUCUAUUAAAUUUUAUCUAUUAAAUGAUGAUAUGAAAUGCUAAUUUAAAUGAUUUGUUUUCAAAUAUAUAAAAGCUACUUUCUCAUAUGAUAUUACUUAGUUCACAAAUGAGAUAGGACCCUUCACUAAUUUUGACUUUAAUAUACUGCACUCAUAGCUAUCCAUAUAUUAUAUUUUGCACUCACCUACUUUUUCAAGUUUUUAUUAAUCUUGUUAUAUACUUAUGAUCAUCAACCCUAAAACCAUAUAAGGUUCGGGUUGCCCAUCCGUGACCCGACUAGGGCCUACCAGAUGGAUACAUGCAAACCUCACAGUACAAAGUCAACAAUGGGAGCUCGCGAUCUCAGCUCGCAUAUGUCCACGAAGUGUCCAGCAGGCAGCCCAGAACAAUAUACAUGCCCAGUAUAUGUAUAGAGUCUAUUAAGAACGUCAAUUCCAUUAACAGUAGCUAUGUAUAUAAAUAUUCGAUUGUCCUCUUUAGUGAAACGUAACGAAAAAUUACUCAACAAAUCUAUUAAUAUGUUAUAUUGUUUUUUUUUUAAAUUGUUUUCCUGAUUUAAAUUUCAUUUCAGUAAUUUGAUAAGAGAUGUUGAAUUGGUCUCCGGUGCAUAUAUGCAUCGAUUGUAACAUUUAAAAGAUGAAAUUCCUUUCCUGUAAGAUUGAAGAUGUGAUUUUCCUUUUCUCUAAGAUAGACUGCAUAUUUGUUGAUUUUUUUUUUUUUCCUUCUUCUUGAAAUAAUAAAGAAAGAGAAGAAUGAAUUACCCUCUUUUAUUCUUUCCUUUAAUGCUGUGAGGGCUCAACCUAUUGGCUGGGAAUGGAAUCUAUACAAAUGUCUUUUAAUAGAAAAUUAUUUGAUUAUUUUUUAGUAGAGUGUUUAGAUUUUAUAAGUAAAAUUUUAAAUGUGUUAUAUGUCUUAUUAGGUGCAACAAGAUAAAAUAAAAAUUCAAUAAUUAAAAAAAUUAUGUUGUAGUGUUUGAGUAUUACUUUUGGAAUUAAAAUGGGGAUAUAUCAAAUUCUAACAGCACGUUUGGUUCGCUGUAAUGGAAUAGAGGUGUAAUGGAAUAGAGGCGUAAUAGGUAAUUCUUUUGUUUGGUUGAAUGGAAUGGAAUAGAGGUGUAAUAGUAUUCUUGUGUUUGGUUGAAUGGAAUAGAGGUGUAAUAGCAUAAGGAAAAAAACUAAAAUGACUAUAAUACCCUUAGCAGAAUUUUUUUUAGGUAGAUGAUUAUUGUUAUUGUUAUUAAAUUUUAAUAAGAUUAUUAAUAUAAAUAAUAAAUAAUUUAAUCAUAUUUUAACAUAAUUAUUAUUAAAUAUAAUUUAAUAAAAAUAUAUAAUUUAAUAAAAUUCUUAAUAUUAAAUAUUCUUAUAUGAAUUUACUAAAAUCGUAAUAUAUAAUAAUAUAAAAUAUAAUUUAAAAUAAUUAUUAUUAAAUUAUAUUUAAUAAUAAUAUAUAAUUUAAUAAAAUUCUUAAUAUUAAAUAUUCUUAUAUGAAUUUACUAAAAUCAUAAUAUAUAAUACUAUAAAAUAUAAUUUAAAAUUAUUAUUAAAUAUAAUUUAAUAAAAAUAUAUAAUUUAAUAAAAUUCUUAAUAUUAAAUAUUCUUAUAUGAAUUUACUAAAAUCAUAAUGUAUAAUACUAAAAUCAUAAUAUAUAUAAUUUAAUUUUUGAAUGAAUGCAAAUGAUUCACUGUGAAUGUUUCAUUCAUAAGAUCUCCCCUGCUAUAACUUCUUCCUAAAUAAAAAUUGAAAAACAAUAGCAAACAAAUAAUUCAAAGGAUUUUUUCAUUAAUUUUAUAAAUGUUAAUUGGGAGAAGCAACUCCAGAAAUCAUCAUAUGUUAUAAAUAAUUAAGCACUAAUUAUGAGCUAAACAAAGGAGCUUGAUGAUAUCCCAAUACACAGGUUUAUACAAACUUGAUAGCAAUCUUCCAUCAAAAGUGUACGGAUGAAGAUAAGAGAUGGUGACAUUUUGGUAAGAUAAAGGUUCCAGGACAGCUUAUCGCCCCAAAAGCGCAACACGAUCCUUCUGUACUGCCUGUGUCAGGUUGAUGUCAAAGAGUUCGAAUCGUAGAGGCAUCUCCAUCUCAUAGAAGGGGUUCUUCAAAACAUAAUCUGUGUAGAGCUCAUAAACAACUUUCAAGAGAGCCUCCAUGUGCUGUGUCCCAGGUUCACAAACUGCAAAGAACUUUGUCCCUGAAAAUCAUAACAUGCAUAUUUGCAAAAUCAACAGUGUAGAGAAUUCAUUGAGUGGUUAUUUAGAAUCCAUUUAAAGGAGAAAAUUCAUAUUUGUACAUGAGUUUGAAGAAGAUGAAGUAUAGAACUUAUGUCUUAUUAUCUUUAUGCAUAAGGAAAUACCAAUCUUGAUGCUUAAACUAAUAUGGAAGAAGAUGAAGUAUAGAAGGUUUUUGGAUAGUUUAUGCCACGUAUUAAAUAAGUUUCUCAAAAAAUAUGAAAAUUGUGAAGUCACUAAGAAUUCCAGCUGCUAUUGUCUGCCAUGCAUCAUCCAAAUCAAAGACAAACUCAGGUCAGUUUCCAUUAUCCAACACACUCUUGCUUUGUUUUACUGUUUCAUCUAAUUAGUUUCCAUUAUCCAAGGUUCACUAAUCCACUUUCAACUAAAUCUAAGGUAGAUAUUUUUUUUAAGUAAAAUUUAUAUAUCUUAAAAAUCAUUAAAAUUCCGGCCAUAAUUUUAAUUACUCCCCUUAAACAAAGUAGUUGAAACUUCCAUUAUUUUUGUGGUAGAAGGGAGGAUCUUUUCCCAUUAAUGAGUAAUCUAAGUGCACUCUUCAAGGUUACAAUGUAAAACAGUAUCUUCAUCUAAAGCAUAUUUCAAAAUCAAGAAUAAAGUUGCAAACAAUUGCAGUUAAAACUUUUUAAGGUAUGAGUGGCAUACAAGUUACAAACACUCUCAAGUGGCCUCAGGCAGGUAAUGUCUCCCUUAGGUUCGUUAAUGACAUGUGGGAGGCUAGUGGUGGAUUAUGAGCUUCAAAGAAUAUAUAAUUAUUGUGUUUUACAGCACAUCUCAUCACCAAAACCAUAAAACAAUCAGUUAGAAGUUUCAAUUACAAAAUAUACCCUUCAAUCACCAAAACCAUAAAACCAUAAAACAAUUUGUUUAACAAGUGAGACCAACUCAGUCAAAUAUGGAUAGAUAGGUAUUCAAAAUUAGAAGAAGUAGAAUCAACUCAAUAUCAAAACAAUAUCAUGUCUAAAUGAUAAAUUUAUGAAGAAACAAUAACCCAUUCCAAUAUAAUUUAAUUAACUAAGAUUUACUCGCACUAAGGUAAUCCCCAUUCAUCUCCAAUCACUCUCUCAAUAUAUUGUAACAAGGCCACUCUAAAGUGUACUUUGAUUUAAACAUUAGAUUAAGUUUGAAUAAAUAAAAACGUUCAACAAAAUCGAUAAUAAUAAUUUAACCCCACGAAAGUUCUUUUGUAUGGAUAGUUUUCUUAUUCAAGGGAAUGUAUCACUUGCUUCCAUUCUGUGAAUUCAAUGCAAUCCCCAAUCCUGUUUUCGCAAUCUAAAAACUCAUUUGGUAGUGUAUCAAAUGAUUUUCCUAAAAAUUUUCAUAUAUUUCUUUUCUUUUAUUUUUAUAUUUAAAUUAUAUUAAUUAAACUCAUUUGUAAAAUUCAAAAAUUUUAUUGUUAAUGUAUCAAAUAAUUACCCAUUUGGUAUUGAAAAAUCCUACAUCGGAUGGACCAUUAUCAAUUAAAAUUUCAAUUAUUAUUUUUGUAGACAAUUUUUUUUAAAAAAGAAAAAGAAAAUUUGCAAUCAAGUUAAGAUAUUAUCAUAUGUUUAUAAGUGUUAUAUAUAUAAUAUGUGAUAUUUUAAAUUUCGUUUAUAAAAUUUUAAAAAGUUAUAUUAAUGCAUGCGAUAAUAUCUUUAAAAUGUAAGGGUAAAAAAAAGGGAAUUAUUAAGGAGAUUCAAAUUAGCAAAACAAUCAACUUGUGUAGAAAAUGGGAAUUCACUAUUUGAACUUUAUAAGCCACUAAAACUUGGAAAGAUGUAUGGAAUUAAACGUGGAAUCACUUCGAAACCCCCAUUUUGAAAUAAUUUCAAGCUACACAUCAAUUACACUCAAAUAAAAUAAGAUUUCAUGUAUACAAUUUACUUAAAAUGUUGAUUUACAUUUUUAAGCCCGUGUCAAAAAUCAAGUCAAAAGUUAAAUUGAUGAAGUUCUGGAUCUAUUGAUUCAAGUUGAAUUAAUUAACUACGAGAAUUAAGUGAGAUGGUAAGAAUUUUUUUACCUUAAUCAGUAGUCGAGGAUUUGAUCCUCGUUCUGGGUAUAGAGCGGCUUUAAAACUCGUGGUCAAUAUUUACUUCAUUAAUUAGUUUACAAAAUGUGAAGAUUUAAUUACUGUACUCGCUCUAACAUAUCCUUUGAAAAAAAAAGUUGAAUUAGUUUAUUCAACUAAAUUUAAUAAACUUAAUAUUAAAUGAGUAAUAAAUAAGAAUGUACAAUUAAUUUAAUUUAACUUUUUAUUUUCGUUUGGUAUAUUUAGAAUUUUAAAAAUGUAUAUAAACGCACGCCCCAACAUUGCAAUUUUGUUAAUAAUGCUACCCUGUACGAAACCAUUUUUCUCAUUCUCAAACUAAAUUAUUAUGAUUUGAGUGGGUAUAGGAUGAAUAUCUUUAAUUAAUGAGCUGUUGAGAUUUAAUUUGUUGAUGUGUAUGAAAUUAAUUUUUUUUUAAAUAAGGUAUAUUCGUGUUUGUUUUGUAGUGUAUGAAAAUUAACUUUUUUAAUAUUCAUGUUUGUUCCUCUUAAUAAUAUUAUCACUAAAGAUGACAAUCGGGUGGGGUGUUUUUUUGUCCGCCUCAACCACAACUCUUAAGAAAAAAAAUUCCACCCCAAACCUAAACCCAGAAUUUAAUAGGAGAUCUAACUCUGAACUGGCCCGACUUGACUAUUUUUCUAAUUUCACUCGAUAUGACUUGCAUCGAACUUGAUUUUUGAAAAUAAAAUUCGACAGAUCAAGUCAAGUCAAAACCCGUUAAAUUCAAGGUUCUUUUGUCAUCCCUAACCAUCAUCAAGGCGAAGACAAGGGGAAAAUAGUGCGCCAAAAAAGAAUAAUAAAUUUAUCAUUUAAACCCUUUAACAUUUAAAAAAUUUUAAGUCAAUAUAAUGAUAAAAAUACAUUUUAAUCUCAAAAAAUUAUGACUCAACUCUAUACUUUAAAAUAUUUUUUUGGGUUCACCCUCGAGUCCAACCAUUCGUACUACUUAGUAACAUAUAUUAUAGAAACGUAACAAAUUAAUCUCUCCCAUCACUACAUGCACAUAAGUGCAUUCACUAUUCCAUGCAAUAUCUCAUAUGUCACAUGCAUAAUACUUACGAACCAGGACCAUCAUCUUUUCUAUAUAAAGGAUCCUCCACCUACAAACAUUCCACACACAAAACAUUAUCAUGGAAUCCUUAAAGAAUAUCGUUUUUCUCAUCGUUGCUAUAUCUCUAGUUCUUCAAGCCACGGUGCCUCCAACUGCGUUAGCCGCUCGUAACGAGGUUAUGUCCUCUGCCGCUGUAUCGAAAGUGGCUAAUGAUUCCAACGGUUUGGCUAAGGUUUUCCAGAAGGUAGGCCCUGGCUGCAAACCUAUAGGUUCGUUUUGCUUGUUUGACCUAACCAGUUGCUGUAGGCCUUGCGGAUGCCUUGCAGGGUUUUGCUAUAACCUUGAUCAUAAUUGCAAUGAGUACACAUAAUGGUCACUACUGAGUUAAAAAAAAGAAGAAGAAGCUUUGAGUCAAAAAACGACGUGGGAUUCAAUUAUAAAUGUUCUAUAUAUAACAUAUGUAUUUGAAUAAAGAAUCUCGUGUUAUGUCCCUGUUUGAUUGAUCUCUGCCAUUGUUGUAAGUGUUGAUGUUUUUCGUCUUCUUAUUGGUGUGUUGGUAUUGUGUGUACCCUUGUUAUUGGCAUAUGUAAUGAUAACUAAGUUUAUGAGUAUUUACCUAUUUUCUUUUAUGUAUAAUAAUUUGAUACUAAUUUUGAUUUUUACAAAACAAACUUUUUUUAUGCACACUUUUAACAUGAUUUGGUAAAUGUUAAAACUUUUUUCAUAAAUAAAUCUAAUAAAAAAAUUUCAAGUAAAUAAAAAAUAAUGAAUAAUCUUUAUGAGAAUGGAUUGCCUAAAGAUGUGAUUUCACAUCAUCCUGAUACAUUUAUAAUAGGAGAAUUGACAAAUUAAAUUUUAUUCUUGAUUUUUAGCUUUUUCCUCCUAACAAUUUUUUUUUUGAAAGAAAACCCGAAGGUUAAAACUUUAUUUAAUCGCAUCAUUAAGAACAACAUCGUGGAUUUCCGUCGGAAAAUCCAUGUUAAAGUCCAUACAGCUUUUGUUAAGGUUUGCCCAUUUACACAGGGCAUCAGCAACUCUGUUACAACACCUUGGGGCCCAUUUAACCGUAAAGAAAUUGAAACCAACUGUGAGCUUCCGAAUUUCUUUCAACUGGUGACCCAUCAGGGUCAAGUCCUCCUUACUGCUGUUGAAACGGUUAACAAUACUUGCGCAAUCUGGCUCAAUUGCCACGCGCUUCCAGUUUUUGGAACGGGCGUAAUUGAUACUCACUUCCAUGGCAUGCGUCUCCGCCCACUCAAUACUCGAAACAUUGUUAGACAUGCCCACACGCCCCCCCAAGAACGAAACCAUCUGUAUCCCUUGCCACCAGACCGUACCACCCCGUAUUCUCAUGGAUAGUAGCAUCGAAAUUAAUCUUGAUAACUCCUGACUCAGGUUUCUGCCAAUCCCUUUCCACAAUAGGCUUAGGUAUCAUCGGCCUGUCCAACAGAUUAAAGAUACGAAAAUCCCUAUUUAAAGCCGCAGCCCUGUCCCAUGUCACCUUGGCAUCCUCCUCAAUAUUACGAAAAACUUUGCUGUUUCUACUAUUCCAAAUAUUCCAGAGGGUAGAAAUAAAAUCCGACAUAGCCUUCUUCUCCAUCACGCGGGCAGCAUCCUCGAUCCAGUCCACGCACCGGUCAUAAGUACCCUCGAACAGCUUUUGAUUUAACCCCCUAUAGCGCAGCACUGCCCUAGCCCUAGGGCACUCUCUCAAAGCGUGAACAAGGGUUUCCCUCUCAACACCACAUCUCGGGCACAUACUGUUGAAAUCCCUCCGUAUUCGAGAGAUAUUUUCAUAAGUAGGCAGAAUGUCAUGCCCCAAGCGCCAGCAGAAAAUCUUAAUUUUUGGCAAGGUUUGCAGUUUCCAAGUAAGGUUCCAGAAAAAACGGUGGGGGCCGAAGCCCACAUUCUUCAAAGUCAACCAUCCUCCUAACAAAUUUAAAUACAACUAAAAAUGCUAAAAAUCAAGAGAAAAAAUAUGAUUUAUUAUUUUCUUAUCCGAAACAUAAAGAUAAUGUGAAGUUACAAUUUUAUACAAUCAUUUUAUAACAUUUUUCUAACAAACAAUUUAAUCGUCUUACUCAAUUUUAAGUAUAAAACAUUUAUUUUAUAUUAUAAAAAAUUAAAAUUAAUUAUUCGAUUCGAUUCAGGGUUUUAACUUGAAAACCAAAACGAGUGAGUAGUAGCCUACUAGAGUAUAUCCAAUUAGCAAAUCAACACUAGUUUAUACGUGCUUCCUUUUGAACCGCUUCGAAAUCAGCUCCAAAAAACUGCUAGAGGCUCGAGCAACAUAAAAACCUCAAAAAAAUUAUAGAGCUGAAAAGCAAAAAAAAUGCACCGUUUCAGAGGCAGGUGAGCUGAAAAACCAGCAGCUGAAAGGGACAAACCCGUCACGUGCAGCUCUCCAAUAGCAGGUCAUGGAGUUCAGUGAAGAAAAACCACAGCAGGCAUAAGCAGCACAAAACCAGACCCAAACAGCUCAAAAAACAGAGUUGAAACAGUUGAUUAGACCCAAACCAGCUCGAAUCAGUAGCACCGUUUUCUAUAUAAAGGGCCUCCUCCACCUACAAACCAUUCCACACACAAAACAUAAUCAUGGAGUGGUGCAAGAAGUUUGCUUUUCUGAUGUUUGCAAUGGCUCUACUUCUUCAAGCCAUGGUGCCUCCGACAGCAUUAGCUGCUCGUAACAAUGUUAUGGAAUACAAUCCAUUGGCAAGCAUAGUCUCGAGGGAAGGCCCUGGCUGCAUCGCAAAAGGCGGGUUUUGCUUGUUUGACCUAACCAGUUGCUGUAGGCCUUGCGGAUGCCUUGCAGGGUGGUGCUACAACAUUGAUCAUGAUUGCAAUGAGUACGCAUAAUGGUCGCUACUGAGUUAAAAAAAAAAAACAGCUCCAAGUCAAAAAAAUGACAUGGGAUUCGCAUCCGUUUAUAAAUGUUCUAUAUAUAACAUAUGUAUUUGAAUAAAGAAUCUCGUGUUAUGUCCUUGUUUAGUUGAGCUGUGCCAUUGUUGUAAGAGUUGGUGUUUUCCGUCUUCUCGUUGGUGUGUUGUUAUUGUGUGUACCCUUGUUAUUGGCAUGUCUAAGAAUAAAUAUAUAUGUCAAUCAACUAAGUUUUAUGAGUAUUUACCUGCCUUUUUUAUCUAAUUCAUGGACGGAUCACAUUUUAUAAAUUAAGCGAGGAGAUGUUAUUGUGGAGACUUGAAUCCUGGACUUUAAAUAGUAACACACAGCUCUUAACUACUUGCUCAAUUACGGUAAAUAUCAUUAAUAAAUACUAAUAUCAACAUGGAUAUUGGCAAUCACCACAGCUGGGUUGGGUGAAAAUCAAUAUGGAUGGAACGGUUGGGCGAAUGACUGAUAUAGCGGCAGCAGGAGGAGUCAUCAGAGAUUAUAAUGUGAAGUGGCUGUGAGGCUGUUAUAGCAAUCUUGGUUCGUGUCCUGUGCUUCAUGCUGAGUUAUGGUGCUUGGAAGGGUUUCUUUUCGGCAUUGAAUUGCGGGUUUCACAGGAUGGUUUUAGAAAUGGAUAAUGUAAAAAUAUUGUGUUCUCAGGAGAAAGCAGAGCACAAUGCUAUAGUCAGGAGAAUAAGGAAUAUACGGGUUAGCCAUGGGAAGUGAAGAUACAGCAUGCUGUUGGUGAGGGUAAUUUUAUUCCAGGUGGUCUUGUAAACCUGGGGCGGCUGAAUUCGAAUCAGAAACAUAUGAAUUACAUGAUGAAGCAUGCCAAAUUGGGUAGGGUAGGUGUCUAUCGAAAAAAACGGUAAAUUAGUAUUUAUACAUUUUGGAAAGUGUAAAUUAAUUCUCUAUUAAAUUUUAUCUAUUAAAUGGUGAUAUGAAAUGUUAAUUUAAAUGGUUGAUUACUAAUUCCUUUUUUAUUGUAAGAAACUCAAAAAAUCAAAAUUAAUUCUCAUGCUUGAUUGAAAUCAUAAAUAAAUAAAUAAAAACUUGAUUGAACCCAAGAAAAAUCAACUAAAAGUUUUGACUACUCAUUUUCAAAUUUCUCAUACUUUUGUAAAUAUUCAUUUAAUCUUCGUCGCCUAUGCUUCCAACUAAAAUGUAUAUAAAAAUUUAUUUAAUGUUUACUUUCUUCUACUUUAGUGAAUACUCGUUUUUGCAUCUCCUAUGCUUUCAUAUCUCCUAAUGAUGUAUAAUCAUGUUAUAAAAUUUCAAUUACUCAUUUUCACAUCCCUUUAGCUAUUACAAACUUUCCUAUUUAAAAAAUCUUAUUGUUUUAUACCCUAGAAGCUUUAAUCUUUAAGUUAUUGGGUUUUUAAUUUUUAAUAUAAAUGUAUAGAUUUUGAACAAUUUGAAAUUUUUGAAAAUAAUAUUUUAAAUUUAUAAGAAGAAAUAGAAUAUAAAAAGUGAAAAUUUAAUUUAAAAUAAAAUCCUAUUGCCAUUAACAUGUCUCCAAAGGUGGAGAAGGAGUGAAAGGAGUCCUUUGUCUUCAUCUUAUUCUUCUUCGCUAAAAAGAUAUGCAAAAUUGAAAGAUUUUAUUUUCCUGUAAAUGUGUUAUUUCUUUGGUUUGAUUGUAUUUCAACAGUAAUAAAAUUAUUAUUUUAUUGAAAUAGGUGUUUUUAGAAUUGCACUCGAGUGCAUCUUCAACAGAUAAUGUUAGUGUUUCAUUGUAUUGGAUAGUUCUACUUCUCAUCAAAUCAAGAAUUUUAUUGAAAAUGAAAAUGUUUCCCUAGCAUUAAAAUAGUGUUCAAUUUUUCAAAAAAAUAAAAAAUAAUAAUAACACCAUAAUUCACCAAAAAAGAACUUUGAACGUAAGUUUUUGCUUUAAUAAAUUUGGGUUUGAUUUUGUUUAUUGUUUUAAUAUUUUUAAUAUAUUUUGAUAAUUUUUAUUUAUUUUUAAUUUUUAGAAUUAUUGUUAAGAAUUUUUUAAAUAAAAUCAAAAUAAUAUUUUAACUAUAUUUCAAGGACCAAAUUAGUAAUUAACCAUUUAAAUUAAUAUUCUAAAUCAUCAUUUUUUCAAUAGAAUGGCCAAAAUGCAAUCCACUGCUUUUUAUCAAAUUUAAUACUUAUUAAGAUUCAUUUUAAUUUUAGUCUUCAGCUGCAUGAAGGGAUCUAUUAAAAUAAUGUUAUCCCACUUAUUCUAAAUUUUAAAUUUCACGUAACCUUAUGAUUUUAUAAGUUGUAUGAUUUAACCUAGACUCCAAAGAAAAGAGAGAAGUUUGAUGUAUCAAGACUUCCAACCACUAUGUCAUGCAAGUCACGUAAUUUGUCAUGCAAUCCAUAUGCUUAUAUAUGCUUUUUUUUUCUUUUAAUUUUUUUGCUAAGCCACUAAUAUAUGUUCAGUAUUUCUAUUUAAAGCACCUCCAUUUAUACAUUUCCAUCAAAUUUAUGAUCAGAUUUAACACUAAGAAAUGGAGUACUGCAAGAAGCUUGCUUUGGUGUUGGCCAUGAUGGUUGUGGCAGCCACCACAACGGCAACCGCGGAUCGCAACGAGCUGACGGAAACUCUUUCCAUCGAAGCAAUUGUUGGAACUCGAGCUUGACUAACAUCAUCAAGAACCCUUUGGGCAAUAUUUUCGACGUUAAUGGCGAACCUGUAGUGGAAUGCAACCCUGAUGAUCAAAACUGCAUUAAAAACUAUGGAUUUUGCUUGUUUCAGAACAAGAUUUGCUGUGAUGACUGCACGUGCUUCGGGUUGUGCGUGCUUUGCAGACAAAAAUAAAGACAGUGGCUGAUCAGGAAGGGAUCUCAGGAAUCAAUGUUUUAUUGUCUUUCUUUUUAUACCUAACUAUGGUGCUGGUACUGUUUUCAUGUUUUGUUGAUGUUUGCGGACUUAAAUUAUCAAUAAGAUCGCAUUUAUUAAAACUUAAGUAUUUUUCCUCAGCUAUAUAUAUAUUUGCUGGGAGAAGGCUUACUCCGGAACCUCAACGGGUCGGUAUGAUCUCAAGUCUGAGGUUUUUUUUUUCUGUAAAAAGCACAAGUGUUUAAGGCAUUAGAUUCAUAGAAGCUUAUCGAGAUCAAAUCAUAUAUAGCGCACAGCCGCCUAUCAAAAGAUAUAUAAGCAUUUUAUUUAUAAUAGGGUUUGAACUUUUACCCUUAAAUGAUAACAAAUAGGGGUGAAGUAGAAAACUUUUUUAAGGGUCGAAAUAAGGGUAUUUUAUAAAAAUAAUAUAAAAAAUAAAAAAAUAUUAAAAUAGUAUAACAUUUUUUUUAUUAACUAAAAUGGUACAAAAAAAACAGUUAAAAAAAUGAAAGAAGGGCCUGCCACAGGCGGCACAUUUGGUGCUGUGGCAGAAGCGGCACCAAUUUUUCGUAUUUCGGCCUUUUGUUCGUAUUUUUUUUCGGAUUUUAUUACUUUUAAAAAUAUACUAUUUUCUAAUUUUUUCAUUUUAUAUUAUUUUAGUACAUUAUGUUUGAAAUGUAUUAAUUUAGUGUGUGUUUUUUAUUGAAAGUAAUAAAAUCCGAAAAAAAAUACAAAUAAAUGGUCGAAAUAAGGAUUUUUUUAAAUUUAUUUAAAACACACACUAAAUGAAUACAUUUCAAACAUAAUGUACUAAAAUAAUGUAAAAUAAUAAAAUUAGAAAGUAGUAAAUUUUUUAAAAGUAAUAAAAUCCGGAAAAAAAUACGAACAAAGGGCCGAAAUAAAGAUUUUUUACUAAAUUUAUUUAAAAAACACAAUUAAUUAAUACAUUUCAAAUAUAAUGUACUAAAAUAAUAUAAAAUAAUAAAAUACAAAAAUAAUAUAUUUAUAUUGAAAGUAAUAAAAUCCGGGAAAAAAUACGAACAAAUGGCCGAAAUAAGAGUUUUUUUUAAUUUAUUUAAAAAAACACACUAAAUGAAUACAUUUCAAACAUAAUGUACUAAAAUAAUGUAAAAUAAUAAAAUUAGAAAAUAGUAUAUUUUUUUAAAGUAAUAAACUCUUUGGGAAAAAAUACGAACAAAGGGCCGAAAUAAUGGUUUUUUUAAAAUUUAUUUAAAAAAACACAGUAAAUUAAUACAUUUCAAACAUAAUGUAAUAAAAUAAUGUAAAAUAAUAAAAUACGAAAAUAAUAUAUUUUUAUUGAAAAUAAUAAAAUCUGGGAAAAAAUACGAACAAAGUGCCGAAAUAAGAAUUUUUUUAAUUUAUUUAAAAACACACUAAAUUAGUAUAUUUCAAACAUAAUGUACUAAAAUAAUGUAAAAUAAAAAAAUAGAAAAUAGUACAUUUUUUAAAAGUAAUCAAAUCCGAGAAAAAAUACGAAAAAAAGGCCGAAAUAGGAACAAUUGGUGUCGCCUCUGCCAUAGGCACCAAAGGUGCCGCCUGUGGUAGGCCCUUCUUUCAGUUUUUUUUUUAACUGUUUUUUUGUACCAUUUUGGCAAAUAAAAAAUGUUAUACUAUUUUGGUUUUUUUUUGUAUUAUUUUUGUAAAAUACCCUCGAAAUAAAAUUUUAAUUCUUAAUAGUCUAUAUCUUCAUAAUUUUUAAAUGAUUAAAUUAAAUUUUCAUAAUUUUAGGGGAGCUAAAUGUACAAAUUUACCUUUACUAAUUUAAAAUUUUAAAAUUUUUUAAAAAAGCCAAAAUAAUAUUUUUUUCAUUUUAGGGGGACCGGGGCACCUGCCAACCCCCUAGAUUCGUCUCUAAUAACAAAAGGUAUUUAUGUCCUGCUCUUACUAAAGUUGAGAGACAAAAUUCCAACUUAACUUAAAAACGAUACUAAUUAAUUUAUUAAAAAAAUUUACAAGUCCAUACAAAAUACACUUUAAAAACUUUUCUGAAAAGUUCCAUCUCUAUUCAAUAGUAUUACGAUUACUAAGAUAUAUUUAUUAAUUUUAUUAUUUCUAUGUCAUUUAUCUAGGGAUCAAACUGCCUACUCAAUUCGUACAAUAUAAGCACUUCACCUUCUUCUUUUUUAAUUUGAGAGAUAUUAAUCAAACCCAAAUUACUAUUUCAUAAUUAAAAUAUUUUUAUUUAAGUUUAACUAUAAAUUAUAUAAAUAUUAACAUUACAAGCCAUAUCCAAUUAUGAAAUGAUUGAGAUAUAUGUGUUGAAACACUGACCGGUUUGUUUCUAUAUUUGUGAUAUUGACAAUUUAUUGAAUCGGAUUUUUUAACUAUGCUAAUAUUGUAGAUUGUAUCUAUUGCAUCAAUGAUGAUCGUAUCACUUGGGGAAACAUAUAUAUUUGGAGAAUCAGAUCGGAUUUAAUCUAUUUAAUCCCUUAGAUUGAGGAAAUUGGAUCAGAUUGGAAUGUUAAUUAAAGACUUAAGUUCCAAUAGUCCUUGUUUACCUUAUUUAUUAUUAUUCUAUUGUAUUCAACUAGUUUAGUUAUUAUUUAAUAAGGAUUGAUAUAGAUCUUCAUUAUGUUAACAAGUCUCGAUACACUACAUAUAUUUGAGAGACUUGUAUAGAUCAUUGUACUGAUUAUUGAGAGCGCACUUCAUCUCCUGAAGUGAGGAACAUACUUUGUGUGAAUGCAUCUCAUUGUAAAACAUGGAUGUUGUAGUUUUACAAGCUAAGUUCAUAGGGGUGAAUGAGAGUAUCAAUCUUAAAGGUACAAAAGUAUAAUUUUUAAAGGGUUAAAUCAAUUUAUUAUCAUUUUAGAGACUCAAAGUACAAUUUUACUAUUAUUAAUUUAAAAUUUAUAAAUUAUUUAGAGCCUAAAUUAAAAUUUUACUAUUUUAGAAGAAACCAUGACCCCUGGAUCUCCACUACACUCCGACGCUGAUGUCACAUCUCUUAAAAACAUAGCAAAUAAUAUGUUAUUAUUGAUAAUAUUUAUCAUUGCAACAUCAACAAUACAUGACCACAGUAACAAGAGUAAAUACCAAGUCUUUUUACGACAAACAAAAGGCAAUUAGCAUUUACCUCUUUUGAAAACUAAGUAAUUAGAUUAUUUAACCAGACAUGAAACACAAUAAAUAUCAUUAUUUAGCUGUAAAAACCAUUUGAUUAAUGAGACACCUCCUUCAUCAUUUUUUCUUAUACAAUAUAAACAAUUACAUUAUGCGGGGAUGCACAGUCCGAAGCAUGUGCAAUUACCACAACAUUCCUUUUCCGCAAACAAGCAAAACUCAUACUUAGGGAUGCAAUUCGCAUCAGGUUUUCCUUUAACGUCGAAAAUGUUGGCCAAAGCGGUGGUUGAGCUUGAGUCGACGAGGAAAGCCACUGCCUCUUUGCGAGCGGCGGUUGCCAUUGGAGGCGGGGUGGUUGCUAGGACCAGUGCCAUCGUAACCAAGACGACUCCAAAUUUCUUCCACGAUUCCAUCUUUAAUUCUAUGUGUAAAUUGAUAGAAACGGGGCUGCUUUAUAUAGAAAUGCCCAAAAUAUUUUAGUGGCUUACCAAAUAAAAAUAAAAAUCAUAUGGAUUGCAUGACAAAUUACGUGACUUGCAUGGCUGACAAGCGAAUGGAAAUUUUGAUACACAUCCACCAUUUCUCUCUCUCUCUCUCUUGUUUUUCAUAGUUAUUCUUAAACAUCUAACUUAAAAUUUUUAAAUGGUUAAAAUAUACUCUAGGUCCUUAUACUUUUGCAUAUUCAAAAUUUAGUCCAUUCUACUUUUCAAAUUUUAAAAAAUGUAAGUGCAAUUGUUGACACAAUUAAAAUUCUUCUAUUAAAUUCAAGUUCACUAUAAAGUCUUUUUUUUUUUGUUGCAUGGCUAUUGAGUGAGUAUUUCUUUCAUUUCAAAAUGUCACACUAGAAAAUUUAAUAGAAGAAUGUUAAUAGUGUUAACAAAUUAGAUUUGAAUUUUGAAAUCUGAAAAGUAAAAUGACUAUAAAUUCUUAGAAAUAAAAGUAGGUGGGCUAAAUUCCAAAUAUAUAAAAAGUACGAGGAUUUGCAGUAUAAUUUAACCUAUCUAAAAUAAAUUGACAAUAAGUGAAUAUAUAAAUGUAAAUAAGACAUUAGUGAUGUAAAAUACUUGAGUUCAAUUUGAAAGAAAAAAAUCUUAAAUUUAAGGGUAAAUUACAUCCAAACUCACUAAAAUAUUAGUAAGUUCACAUUUUCAUCACUCAACUUCAAAAAGUUACAAAAUGACCACUAAACUAUUCGAAAGUUUUUAUUGAUCAUUGCGCUAUCAAUUUUUUUUUUUAAAGUUCAGCUAGCGAGCUCCAAGCAACAAUUCAACGAUUAAUACAGUGAAUCAGUACUCGUCAAUGAGUAGAAGAACAUACCUUAGAUCUAAUUCAAUUUGAUGAUCAGUGUCGGAGAUCUUAGAAGAAAGUUGUUUGGAUUUUGAUUCGUAGAUUUAUAAUGUUCAAAGCUGUUGAAUGAAAAAAAACUGAAUUGUAGAAGAGAAAGGAAAAGAAAGCUUUCGAUUGGUGCAAAUAAUGUAAAAAGAGAAUGUCAUAUAACAACGAUUUUAACAACUCGGUGACUUAAAUAAAAACUUUCAAAAAAUUUAGUGAUCAUUUUGUAACUGUUUAAAGUUAAGUGAACAAAAUACUCUAAUAAAUUUAGAUGCAGUUUACUCUAAGUCUAACUAUAUCAUUAUUAAGUUGAGCAUGUAAUUAGUUUGUUAUUUUAAAAAAAUCAUAGCCACGAGGCAAACAUUGGGAAUAAAAUUGUAAUUCCCACUAAAGCAUUGCGUAGUAGCAGGAGAGAUGAGUUUCCUCUCCCAAAUUUGGACUCAAAUUGUGUAAUCCCAACAUAUAUAGAUCACGUUUAACCAUCAGACAAACGAUUCUUUCAUUAUUUUUUAUACAUUUUUGGUGUAAUUAAUAUUAAUAUAUUAAAUUCAAAUAAGAAAAGACUUUAUUAUUAUUAAAAUAUAAAUUUAAUUUGAGUCAAUUAAAAUUUAUAAAACUUUUAUUUUACGAUUUUUUAUAAUUUUAAAUAUAUCUAACCAGUAUAUUUUAAUAAAAGAAUGUAAAUUUAAAAUUUAAAAAUCAUAUCAUUGAAAAGAAAAAUUACAAAAGGCAGUAAAAUAAGUUUAGAGUACACUAAAAAGACAAAAGGCAUUUAACAUUUAGGUUUAUUGAAACAAGUAAUUAAAUUAUUAAACCAGCCAUGAAACACAAUAAAGAUCAUUAUUUAGCUCCCCUCCUUCAUUUAAGUAAUAACGUCGGGAUGCACACUCCGUAGCAUGUGCAAUUACCACAGCAUUCCUUUUCUGCAAAUAAGCAAAACUCAUACUUCGGGACGCAUUCGGCAUCAGGAUUUCCUUUAACGUGGAAAAUGUUGACCAAAGUGGUUGUUGAGCUUGAGUCAGCGGGGAGAGCCACCGCCUCUUUGCGAGCGGCGGUUGCCAUUGGAGGCAUGGUAGCUGUCAGGAGCACCGCCAUCGUAACCAAGACGACACUAAAUUUCUUCCAGGACUCCAUCUUUAAUUUUGUGUGUAAAUUGAUGGAAACGUUAUACAAAUGGAGGUGCUUUAUAUAGAGAUGCCCAAAAUAUUUUAGUGGCUUGCCAAAUAAAAAUAACAAAAAUCAUAUUAUAAACAAGUGGAUUGCAUGACAAAUUACGUGACUUGCAUGGAAGACUAGUGAAUGGAAAUUUUGAUACACAUCCACCAUUUCUCUCUCUCUCUUUUCUUAUAGUUUUUCUUAAACAUCUAACUUAAAAAUUUUGGGUUAAUUAUACAAAUAGCCACCAAACUAUGCACAUGUUCCUAUUUUGGUCACUCAACUUUAAAAAUUUUCAAUUUAGACACUAACGUUUGAAUUCGUUCCUAUUUUGGUCACCAUCUAUUAAAUUGAUAAUGAUAUAACCGGUAUAAUAACAAAUUCAACCCUCAAUAUAAUUAUAUAUUCUAUUGAUUUGAUCCUAAUUCUAAAUAAUUCAAUAAUUUUAACCCUUUACAUUUACAAAUUCCAUCAAUUUGAUCCUCAAACUUCCUAACCAAAGCUUCCAGCUUUUAAAACAAAGGCAUUCCACAUCUAUAAAUUUGUAAAACCCCAAAAAAUGGGAAACAAAACUUCUUUUUUGGGUUUUACAAAUUUAUAGAUGUGGAAAGCUUUAGUUAGAAAGUUUGAGGAUCAAAUUGAUAGAAUUUAUAAAUUUGAAGGGUUAAAUUCAUUAAAUUAUUAAUAAUUAGGAUCAAAUUGAUAGAGUAUGUGAAUAUUGAGAACUAAAUAUGUUAUUAUACGUGUUAGAUAGCUAUCAAUUUAAUGGUGGGUGACCAAAAUAGGAACAAAUUCAAACGUUAGUGCCUAAAUUAAAUUUUUUUAAAGUUGGGUAACCAAAACAUGAAUGCGGACAUAGUUGGGUGACCAUUUGUAUAGUUUACCCUAAAAUUUUUAAUAGGUUAAAAUAUACUUAAUGUCCUUGUACUUUUUGCAUAUUUGAAAUUUAGCCCAUUUUACUUUUUAGAUUAAAAAGUGUAAGUGUAAUUGUUGAACCAAUUAAAAUUCUUCUAUUAAAUUCAAAUUCAUUACAAAGCCUUUUUUUUUUGUUACAUGGCUACUAAGUGAGUAUUUCUUUUAUUUCAAAAUGUCAACCUAGAAAAUUUAAUAGAAGAAUGUUAACAGUGUUAACAAUUAGAUUUGAAUUUUAAAAUCUGAAAAGUAGAAUAAUUAAAUUCUUAGAAAUAAAAGUAAGUGGACUAAAUUCCAAAUAUAUAAAAAGCACGAGGACUUGCAGUAUAAUUUAACCUAUCUAAAAUUAAUUGACAAUAAGUGAAUAUAUAAAUGUAAAUAAGACAUUAGUGCUGGUAAAAUAUUCAAGUUCAAUUUGAAAGAAAAAAUCUUAAUUUAAGGGUAAAUUGCAUCCAAACUCACUAAACUAUUAGCAAGUUCACAUUUUGGUCACUCAACUUCAAAAAGUUACAAAAUGGCUACUAAACUAUUCAAAAGUUUUUAUUUAAGUGAUCAUUGUGCUGUCAAAUUCCUUUUUUAAAGUUCAGCUAGCGAGCUCCAAGCAACAAUUCAACGAUCAGUACAGUGGAUCAGUACUCAUUACUGAGUAAAAGAACAUAUAUUAGAUCCAAGUCGAUUUGACAAUCAAUAUCAUAGAUCUUAAAAGAAAGUUGUUUGGAUUUUGAUCCGUAGAUUCGUGAUCUUCAAAGCUGUUGCAUGAAAAAAAAAUUGAACUAUAAAAGAGAAACGAAAGGAAAGCUUUCAAUUAGUGCAAAUAGUACAAAAAGAGAAUGUCAUAUGCUAAUGUUUUAACAAUCUAGUGACUUAAAUGAAAACUUUCGAAUAAUUUAAUAAUCAUUUUAUAAUUUUUUAAAAUUGAGUGAUCAAAAUGUAAAAUUACUAUUAAUCUAAUAAAUUUAGAUAUAAUUAACCCUAAAUUUAACUGAAUUAUUAUUGAGAUUGAGUUGGAUUGCUGGAAUAUAUAAUUAUUUUGUUAUUUAAAAAAAUCAUAGCCACGAGGCAAACAUUGGGAAUAGAUGACAAGAUCGCAUGGGGAUAUAAUAACAAUAAUAAUAAAAGUUGGUUUUUGCAUAAAAUUGUAAUUCCCACUAAAGCAUUAAUGCGUAGAACCACGAGCGAUGAGUUUCCUUUCCCAAUUUGGACUCAAAUUGUAAUCCCAAAACUAACCAUGCCAUUGCCAUGAUGUCUACCAACAUAGAUCACCUUUAACCAUCCAACUAACGUUUCUUUCAAUAUUUUUUAUACAAUUUUGGUGUAAUUAAUAUUAAUAUAUUCAUGUUGCCAAGUUAUUUUUCAUAUAUUAAAUUCAAAUAAGAAAAUACUUUAUUAUUAUUAAAAUAUAAAUUUAGUUUGAAUUAAUUUUAAUUUAUGAAUGUAGGUUCCUACUUUAGAGGAUAAUGUUUUGACGUUAUUCAAAUUGCUGUGAGCAGGUAUAUACCUGUUGAUGAGAAGAUUUGGCAUUUUAGGAGACUAUGUGAAGUCCGGCUAUUUGCUUGCUACAAGGUCGUUUUCUCGACUUGACCUUUCGUUUGAUUUCGGUCCUUGGUUGAAACUUUGGAAUAGUUCUCUUCCCCCAAAGAUUAAAGAUUUUGUUUGGAGGUGCCUCAAAGACUUUGUGCCGUGUAUACAUAAUCUAUCACUAAAGGGGGUGCCUCUUGAUCGAUCCCUCUUGUGCUAGAUGCGGCUCUGUCGAAAGUCUAGAUCAUGUGUUUUUCAUUGUCCUAUGGUUGCACUCGUAUGGCAACUUAGUGGCAUUCAACGAAGAGGUGACAGUGCAUGGGUGUUCUUGUUUAAUAUUUUAGAAAGUGGCGACAAUGAUCUGAUGGAGAAAGGCUGUGCGAUAGUUUGAAGUAUUCGGUUUUUCAGAAAUGCUUAUGUUUGGUGCAAUCUGAAUUCCUCUGCUACGCAGUUAUUGCUAACUUUUGCUUUGAACUAUUUACAGGAUUGGAAGGAUGCAAAGGGGCGGUGGAAACUUAUCGCCAGGCAAUAAAUGGAUGCCGCCUGAGGAGGGCUGCUGGAAAUGCAACACUGAUGUCGCUACCGGACAUAUGAAUAAUGGCUGGGGUUUCGGUGCAAUUGUGCGGAAUGAAAGAGGCGAGUAUAUCACAGGGAUUUUCGGCCGAAUUGAGCCGGUGGAGCAGCCGAUGUUGGCGGAAGCCCACGCUAUUAAAGAGGUCCUCUCAUGGUUGGACUGCGGCUUCGACAAUGUGAUUUUGGAAACUGAGUAUCAUGCCUUGGUCUCGAGGGAACCCGACAAUUUAGAGUUUGGUGUUGUAGUUGGUGACUGCAUUAGUCUUAAUAAUCUUUUCAAUUAUGUGACUUUUAAUUGGAUGUGCAAAGAUGCUAAUAAAGCGGCUUAUGGAUUGAUUAGGAUAGCUUUAUUUCAUGCUCAACCGCAUAUUUAGAAUUUAGUCCCACCUACUCGCAUUUUGCUUUAUGAUUCGGCACUAACAAGGGGGAGCCUGAUGGUCCGGGUUAAUUUUCUGUCUAUUACUAGCUGGCUUGCUCUGUUAUGCUUUCUUUAAUCAAUACUAUUGUCGAUUAUUUUCAAAAAAUUAAAUUAAAUUUAAAAAAGAAAAUGAUUUUGAUAUACUUGAAAAGGCAAGUUUUGUCAACUCCUUUUCAUCUCCAUAGAUUUAUUCUAGUAAUUAUUGGAAAAAUAAAAAGAGAGACUAAAAAUGAAUUAUAAUUUUUUAAGUUAAAAUGCAAUUAUACUAUAAUAUUAAUUUAUAAUUUCAUAAAAUUUAAAUGACAAGUUUACUAUUUAAGGGUAUAUACAUUGCGUGCCCCCUAUCUACACUUAUGAUGUGUAGCAUGAAUUUUGGUGCAGUUUAUUUCUUUUGGAUAACCAUGUUUAAAGACAAACCUUUAUUUUUUUUUAGUACAAUACAAGCAGUUAUAUGAUAAGGGAAAAGGGGAAGAGUUUAAAUACACAGGCAUAAUCCUAAACAUGCACAAUUUUCACAGCAAACUCUGGCCGUAAACAUGCAAAAUUCAAAAUUUUUGAGGCAUUUCUUAUCAGGUUUGUCUUUAUUAACAUCUAAAAUUUUGGCCAAAGUGGUUGUUGAGCUCAAGUCGGCAGGGAGAGUCACCUCCUCUUUGCGAGCGGCGCUUGCCGUUGGAGGCAUGGUGGCUGCCAGGACUACCGCCAUCAUAGCCAAGACGAAAGUAAAUUUCUUCCAGAACUCCAUCCUUAAUAAUUUUGAGUGUAAAUUGAUAGAAACGUUGUACAAAUGGAGGUGCAUUAUAUAGAAAUGCCCAAAAUAUUUUAGUGGUUUACCAAAAAAAUAAAAUCAUAUUAUGAACAGGAUGAUUGCAUGACAAAUUACGUGACUUGCAUGUCAGACUACUUGAUGGAAAUUUUGAUACACAUCCACCAUUUCUCUCUUUUUCUCUUAGUUUUUCUUAAAUAUUUUAGUUAAUAUAGGGAAACUGAAUAAAGAUAUUAAUACUCGUAAAAUACUUAAAUUUAACUUUAAAAAAUAAAAAUCUCAAAUUUGCAUUAUUGAGUGAGCAAUUAACUUAUUAUAAGAAGAAAGAAAAGGGGGGGGGGGGGGGACCCCUAUAAACAUGAGGCAAACAGCCAAACAAAACCAAUUGGUAAUUGAUGAAAAGAUUCUACGGAGAUAUAAAAUCGUAUUGUGCUAACUCUUUCAAUUUCAAUCAUGAAAAUCAUGAAGAUGGAACUCCCAAAUAUUAUUUGGUAGUAUAUAUCAAAAAGUACAUAAUUUUCAACUGAUUCCCUCAUCAAUGAUCCUGAUUUUUUUAAAAAAAUUCCAACAGUAUAACUUAAUAUGUUGAACUUUAAUAAAUAGUGUUAUAUCUUAAAUUAAUUUAAGUUGUGUUUUUUUAUUUGUAAGUAAAUUAAAUUGACAUUUAAAAAAAAUCCAAUAGUAUAACCCAUGAUAUUUAGGUUGAGUCUUCUAUCCAGGUCUAAAGAUCCACUUGAAAAAUAGUAGGGUUUAGAUAAAAAUAUAGGCACAAAAAUGAGCUUAGACAAAAAAUAAAACAUAUUAUCUAAAAGAGCGGGGCCUCGGGUAAGAUUUUUUGACCCGACCUAAAUUUUGCCUAAAUUUGUUUUAUUUUGCUGUUGUUUAUUGUUUUUUUGCGGUUGUUUUACUAUAAUUUUGCUAUUAUUUUGUUAUUAUUUUAUUAUUGUUUGGAUAUUGUAUAACUCUUAUUUUAUUAUUAAUUUUGUUAUUAUUUUAGAGGCAUUUGCUUGCUAUAAUUUUAGUGUUAUUUAAGUAUAAAUAAUUUCUUAAUAUAUUUUCAUUUUUUUAGGAGACAUUUAUUUUAAUGUUUUUUACUUUUUAGUGUAUUUAAUGUAUUUAAUGUAUUAUAUUUUUAAAAUUUGUUUUUAUAUAAAAAAAUUAAUUCGGUCGAGUUGGCUUGAGUUUAGAAUUUUUAUUUUGGUCGGGCUUAGAUAAAAUUUUAGGCCUAUUUUUCGAGUCGAGCCAGACCCAAACUUAGAAAACGGGCCUAAAAUUUUGCAUCAACCCAACUCAUGAUCAGGUCUAGUACAAAGUAAAGCUCGUUGCACUCUCAAAGGGAAUAUGUAAAUUCGAACCUUAAAAACGAUAUUAUUAUGAGAACUGAUUACGAAACCCAAACAUGAAUCAUAAGAUAAACUUGAUGUAAUACUCCGAAAAUUUUACAGUAAGGAAAGUAAUAUAAUAUCUCUGAUAUAGUAAAAUAAGGAAAUAAAGUGCUAAAAAGGGGUAAUUUUGAGUUAUGGCAAUAUUGGGAAGUAUAUUAUAACAUUAAUUCAAGAAAGGAUUAAAUCGCAAAAGUGAGAAAAGUUUUGUUACCCAAGAGUAAAUACUCAAAAGUUGAGGGGUUAAAGUGUAAAUAUGAAAAAGUUGAAGGACCAAUGGUGUAAACAUUUUAAGGGUGGAAUGAUCUAGAAACUAAGAAAAAUGGAUGGAUUAGGACCAAAUUGAAAAAGGUGAAGAAGUUUGAGGGACUAAAUCAUAAUUUUACCAAAUUAAGUGAUGACUCAAGGAUGAAAUUUUAAAAGAUCAAAAAGGGCAAAAUGGUCAAUUAGAAGAGAGAGAAAUCUAGAAGAUAAUGAUGAUGUUGGAGAUAUUUUAGAUUAAUAAAUAAAUAAAUAUUAGUUUAUUAAUAUUUUAAUUUGAUUUUUAAAUGAUAUGUUAUUAUUUUAUUAUUAAUUUAUUUAGUAUAUAUAUAUAUGUGGAAAGAAGGAUGAAAAGCAACCAUCCCCACCAUUUUUGCAUGCAUUAACGUGAGAAGAAGAGGGAAAGAAAGAAAGUUUUGCUUUCUUUACAAUUUGGUCCUUUCACCAAAAAUCCACCAUUUUCACUUAGAAAUCAAAGAAAUUUUCAUAGCCACCAAGAGAGAAAAUUGACAAGGAGACUAUGGGAAGCUAGAAUAUCAAGUUAGAUUCAAGAAAUAGAGGCUGGAGGAGAGAGAAAAUCAAGUUAAAGAUUGAAGUCAAUUGAGCAAGGUAAGAACAUCAUGAUUUCAAUAUAUUUUUGAGUUUGAUAUUAUUGAAAAAGUAUGAGAUUGAUGUUAAUGUAGGGUUUUAUUAUAUAAGGUUAUAUGUUCUUGAUAUGUUAGUGAAGAGAAAAUAAGAGAAAGUGUUGAGAAAUAGUGUAGAGAAGGAAAGUAAGAGUGUUAUAGACUUUGUAAUCAAUAUUUUGCACUAAAACAGUUUUGGACAGCAGCAGUAGGUUAACUUUGAAAAAUCACCAUAAAUUGUGAAAAUCUAAUUAGAGGAUGAAUAAAAUAUGAAAUUAAAUAUUAUUGAGUCUAGUUUCUCAUAGAAGAAACAGUGUAAGAAAUGGAAUUGUAAAUCAUGAGAUAUAUUAAAUUUUGUAAGAUAAUGUUAGAAUGAUUUCGGGUUCCCCUGUUCUGACUUUGGAAAAUUGUUAAAAAUUGUACAGAAAUAAUUAUGAGUUAUAAUUUAUAUACUUAGAAUAUUUAAUGAGUCUAUUUUCAAAGGAAACAAACGGAAACAUCAUCCGAAUUUUGUACAAUGAGAUAAUUAAUUUUUAGUGAAAAGAGGUCAGAACUGUCCAACAGUGAAACAGGGAAAACUUUAAAGAAUAAACUGUACUAUUUGGCUAAACCAAAAAUUCUGAAAUUUUUAUGGUAAGAAUAUAUGUGAAUCUAGUUUUGGGAAAAAUUUACGAAUCUUAAUUUGAAGCUCUGUAUCUCCAGAUAAAAAUAAUUUAGUGACUCUGACCCAGACGGACAGCUUGAAUUUUACAUACAAGAAAAUAGUGAAAGUAUGAAUAAUGUUGUUUAAAUGUGUUACACACAUUAAGGAUGAGGAAUGGAGAGGAGGUGGAGGAAAAUUGGGAAAUAUAUGAAUGACUUGUGUAUAAUUGGUCAUAUGCUUAAUUAUAAUUGAUAAACGAUGAAAUAGAAAUGAUGCAUAUAUUUGUGCAGUAUUGGUUAUGGUUUAAGCUCAUGUGGGAAAAUAAAGUUUAUAGUACGUGUGUAUUGUAUUUUUGGUAUAUGAUUUGGCAUGAAGUAAUGUCGUGAAUGGGUAUUGAAUUAACACAUGUUGGAAAGUUUGAUAUAUGAAUAAAUAUUGUGAUCAUGAAAGUGGUGGUAAGGUUUAAAUUAUGAAAUCUUUAGUGAAAUGGUUUAUUAUGUGAUUAUUUCCAAAAAGAAUUAUGUUUCAAUGUACUAGUUUGCGACUAUGGUUUGAAUGAUAUGUUUAUAUCUUGUGUGAUGUGCAUAGGAAACGAGUGUGGAAAGGUAAUGAAAUAGUAAGUUCAUAUGGCUGAAAGUUAAUGAUUAAAUGUUAAUUUCAUGAAUUAUAUAAUGUAUGAUGAGAUAUAUUUAUUGUUGAAAUGAGAAUAAAAUAAAAAUGUGAAAACCAAAUAAAUGAUCAAAUUGAGCGGAACGCCGGAUUUGAGUACUUCUGAUCAGUGACAAAGUGAUAAGUGGUAGCUUUAGCUACACUUAUCUAAUCAAGUGACAAAGUGAUAAGUGGUAGCCUUAGCUACACUUAUCUGAUCAGGGACAAGUGAUAAAUGAUCAUACGUAAAACCAUAGUUAUACUAUGGCAAAGUGAAAGUGAAGUACUCAAUUUUCCGUAACCGUUCCCUAAUUUGAUUAAGGAUGGUAAGUGACAAAUGGGCCUAAAAGAAUUAAAGUAAAUAGUUAAGUGGUAGUGUAUUUAUACCAGGAUGAUGUUGUUAUUUUAAAAUGACAUUUUCAUUGCAAAAUUGAGAAUUUCAUAAAUGUGUUAUUGAAUGGUAUAAUCGAUAAACGUUGAGUUAAAUGGUAAGUAUGUAUUAGUGUUGAACUUAAUGUCAUUAAGUUGUACGUGAAUUAAAUGGAAAUUGCUAGUGAUAUGAUUUAAAUUGUGAGCAUGAGAAAUUGCGAAUUGAAUGAAAUGAAAAUGAAGCAUUGAAUUGCAUGAGUAUGUAUCGGGUCUUGUAGGCCCUAAUUAUUAUGAUUAUAAUAUUUUAAGGAUAUAUUGUGAAAAGUUAUAGAAGUAUGUUAAUUAUUUUGAAAGUUUUAAUUUAGAUGAAAUUUUAUAACUCGGUUAAAUACGUUUACAAGUGUAUGUGUUUUAGUAAUACCUCGUACCCUAUUUCGGUGUUGGAUACAGGUAAGGGGUGUUACACUUGAAAAAUAUAAUAAAAUGACAUUUCACCCCACAUAGAAAGAAAAAAAAAUAAAAGAAGAAAAAGAAGUUGGUUUUCAAAUAAAGUUGAAAUUCCCAGUAAUGCAUUGCGUAGUACAAUGAGAGAUGAGUUUCCUUUCCCAAUUUGGACUCAAAUUGUAAUUCCAACUAACCAUGCCAUUACGAUGACCACGUAUCCCGUCUACCAACAUUGAUCACGUUCAACGAUUCUUUCAACACUUUUUUUUUUAUAAUAUAAUCAUUUGUAUUAUACAAUAAUAUUUUAUAUAUUGUCGGUUGAGUUUUUAAAUUUUAAGAUAUAAUAAAAUAUUAAAAAAAAUAAGGCACGUGACAAUUUUUUAAAAUUAGUUUUGAAAUAAAAAAUAUAUUAUCAGUAUACCAAAUAUUAACUAUUUAUUAUAUACAUAUUUUUGUAUAAUAUCUAGAUGACAUUAUUUUAAACUCGAGCAUUUUAUUUUUCUUCUUCAAUAUUUUAAUUCUAAAAAAAAUUUGAUAUAAUUAUUAUUAAUACAUUCUGAAGUUAUUUUUCAAUCAUAUAUUAAUAAAAAAAUUUAUUAUUAUUAAAAAUUUUAUCACAUGUAUAUAUGUGUGUAAAUUGCGUAUUUAAAACAUAAAAGUCUAUUUAAAUAAUAUUACUUAUUGUAAAUACAAAAAAAUAUUUUUUUAUAAUUUCUCCAAUUAAGUUGGUGCUUGGUUGACUCAUAACACCAAUACAAUCAUAGGUUUAAAUAAUAGUACGUAUAUAUAUACAAUUGAUGGAGGUAAUAAUGUAUACAUAAUAAAAUUAACAUAUAUAAAUAACAUUAUAUUAAAGCGUUGGUUUAAUGCUAAAUUUAAGGUUUUAUUAAUUCAAUUGGUAUAGGUUCAAAUAUCAUCAUAUACAUAUCUUUUAUUAAUUUUUAAAUAAUAAAAUUAAAAUAUUCUCAAAUAAUAUAAUUUAUUUUAAAUAUGAAAAAUAAUAUUUUCAUAAUUUUUUUUAAUUGAGUUAGUAUUUAAUUAAGUAAUAUUAACUCAAUUAAGAGUUUGAAUAGUAGUAUAGAUUAAAUAUAAAUUUAAUUCGAGUGGUUUUCAAUUUUCAUUUUUUCCAUUGCCACAUUAGAUAAAUUUAACGGAAAUUUGUGAGAAAUUGACAAGAGAUAAUGGCAAGAAAUAUACUUAUAUUUUAACAAAAUUAUUAAUGCAGUGUAGUGUUUGUACUUUUAAUUUGUCAUUUUGAUACUUAUACUUUGUUUCCGUUAUCCAUUCUAGUACUUGAUUGUAACGUUGUCAGUUUCUUUACUGACGCGGCAUGUCACUCAACAAGGGCCACCAUGUGAUGUGGCUGGUUGCAGAACUUUGACGAACUAAGGGUGGGUUUGGAUGGGCGAUUAGGUGCGGUGCGGUGCGGUGCAUUUAGUUUACUUUUUGUCUCACGCUACAGUAUCGCUACAGUAUCUAAUCUCACCGCCACUGCUGUUUUUACACUAACCGUAGGUAAACACACCGCCCAUCCAAACUCACCCUAAAUGAGUCCCUUAUGAGUAAUUUUUUUUUCUUUUUUUUUCAGAAAAGCAAAAUGUUUAAACACUUUUAUACCAUUAUAAAAUUUAUAAAAAUUUAAAAUAUAAAGUUUUUAUAAAUUCAUUCAAAAGUAUAAAAAUUUAAACGAGUGUUUAGACAUUUUGAGAGAUUGGAGUUAGAGAAGUUCAAAUGUUGAAAGUGUUUUUGUGGCUUUUGAAAAAAAUUUCGGGAAACCUAAUCAAAGCAUUCAAAAGAGGGAAUGAAGAGCAACAAUUAGGUGCCAUUUCCGAGCCAGAAAAAUGACCAAUCAUGGUGGUGUGGGCUAGGUGCUGGCUAGGGUUGAGGGAGGAAGAAGAAGGAGAAAAAAAGAAAAUGAGGAGAAAUUGGGGGAAAGAAAAGAAAAGAAAAGAAAUCAAAAGAAUCCGCGUUGAAAAUAAAAAGGAAAAUAUAUUAUUUUUAUUCAUGUUUUUUAGUUUAGAAAAGGAAGAGGAAAUGGAAAAAUUUCAUGCAAGCCCCCCCUUUUUUUUUUUACCCUUAAUCAUUCACCACUCUAAUCGAGCUCACUUUGCCAUGUCACUCAUCCGAUGGUCCAUAUGUCAGUUUCUAACCAUUUUUUUAGUACCAAAUAAUAGACAGAAAAAAAAAAGUUCAUAAUAAUAGAGUCACCUGCCGUUAAUUAAUGCCUUUAAAAAUUUUAAAAAUUAAAUAAAUAAGAUACAUGAUGAUUUGUUAACCUUAUAGAAACUAAAUAAUUCAUCCUUAGUGUAUCAAAUAAUAAUUUUUAUUAUAAUAUUAAAGUGAAAAUUUAUUAGUAAAAAAGGUGGGAGUGAAAAAUAAUUGAGAGCAAUGUGAGUAGCAAUGAGUAUAACCAACAUCCAUGGGGUGAAUGCUUUAACAUCCAUGGAAGAACGAGAUCGAGAGUUAACCUCAUUUCACUUUUUUUUUUUUAUUCAUCAUACAUAAAUAUCUUGUAUUAAAAUGGUCCUAAUUUGGCCAUCAACUUUUAUUCUAUUUUCUAAAUUGCUUUUUUUUAACAAAUUUGAUAAAAUUACGAUUAAAAAAGUUAAUAGGAUGAUAUGAAAUUUUAUAUGUAGAAUAUUUAAAAUUAAAAAAUAUAUCUUAAUUUAAAUAAAAUAAAUGUAAUUAUCAUCAAACAAACGUAUGCAUUCAUUUUGAAACAUUUUUUUAGAUAAUUACGCUUAUUUUCUUUUAACUUCAUGAAUUAUUUAUUUUUUAAUAAUAGUUAUUUUUUAACUUCAUGAAUUAUUUAUUUUAUUAUUUUCCACAUGUAAUUAUUUUUUAACUUAAAAAAUUAAAAAAUUAAUAGUUAUUUUUUAACUUCAUGAAUUAUUUAUUUUAUUAUUUUCCACAUGUAAUUAUUUUAUUGGAUUAUCUAAGUAAUAAAUUAUAUCUCAUUAAAAAUAUUCCACAUACGAAAUUCCACAUCAUUCCGUUAACUUUUUGUAAUGGUACGUUCAUGAAAUCUGUUAACAAAAGUAAUUUGAAAAAAAGAAUAAAAGUUUAUGAUAAAAAAAGACUCAAAAAUACAAUUAGGACCAUUUUGACAAAACAUGUAAACAUUAGUGGCCAAAUUUAUCAUUAAGCCAAAUAUUAUUGAAUAAGAUAUUAUUAGUAACAUUUAAAAUUAUAUAUAAUAGAUGUUGAAAAAACUUAUAUAUAUAAUAGUUGUUCAAAAAACUUAUAUAUAAUAAAUGAAUAUUAUAUAUAAAGAAUAUCUUUUAUAUUUUUAGUAUAAAAUAUAUAUAUAUAUAUUUCUUUAAAGAUUAGUUUUCUACAAAUAACGUUUAACACAAACAAAAUUAGGGUACAUUACCGGUAUUACUAAAUAAUAAUCCUCGUUUUAAUCAUAAAAUUCAUUUCUAACCAUUAUCAAAUUUAGAUUAUUUUGAUCCAUGAAAUUAGACAAGAGUCCAAGAAUUUGGGCCUAGUAUUUGGGUCAAAAUAUAAAAUACUGUUCAAUCUUCUUCUUCUUCUUCCCAGCCAGGAGGUCUUUUCCACACUUUCGAUUAUGUUUUAGACCCAUAGUCCGUGUCGUGCACAGACUCGGUGUCUCGUCCGCACCGGCACGCCGGCCAUGAACAACUAUUCCUUGUAAAAAAGGUCAUAGUAAUGCUGUUUCGGGGUUUGUUUACUGUUUCCAUAGGGAAGUUGAAGGGAUUUUCCCUUUCUCAACCAAUGAACUUAACACCAACUUUUUUCAGAGAUGAAGGUAUGCUUUUUUACAGCUUUGCGUUUGAAUUUUAUUUAGUGUUUGAUAUCUCUACUGUAAUUAGUUCUUGUCUAGCAUUUGAGAUUAAUGCUUCGUUUGUAGCUUUGAAUUUCAUUGAGUAAUAGAUAGGUCAAAAACCAUUGACGGGGUUUUAUGGAUUGUAUGUUUUUCUUACUAUAAUCUCAUACAUGUUUCCUAUGAUGUAAUAAAUUGGUAUAUUUUUCUAAAAGGAUGAUUGGGUUUUCUGUUUGUUUGGUUAAAUUCUAAUAGUUAAACAUUUUAAUAGGAAAACCAGUUGAAAAGCUUCAAGCUUUGAUUUGUUAUUCUAGUUUUUCAACCAAUGGUGACUUAAAGAAAGGCUAUGAGAAGAUGAUGUUGGCAAAGGACUUGGCAUGUCUUGUUGAGGAAUCAUCUCAUAAAGAUGAGAGGAAAGUUAAGAGCAGGAUGGAGCUUAAGAGGUCGAUUGAGCUUCGCGUAAAGAAGAGAGUAAAGGAGCAAUUCAUUGAUGGGAAGUUUCGUAACUUAAUGGUCAAUGUGAUUGCCGUUCCAAUUACGCUUCAAGAUGCUUAUAAUUGCAUUAAGCUCAACUCAAAUGUCGACAUAUCGGUGAAGGAUGAUUCUAUAUGUUUUAAUUCCCUUGCAAAAGAGCUCCUUGAUGGGAGUUUUGACGUUGGAGAAGAUACUGUCUCAUUCUCGACAAGAGGUGUUGCCAAAGAAGUCCUUAUCCUUCCAAAUCCUAAGAUGAUAAUUGUUCAAGAAGCUAUCAGAAUGGUUUUGGAAGUUGUUUACAGGCCCCAUUUUUCUAAAAUUUCACAUGGUUGUCGAACUGGGAGGGGUCACCUGACUGCAUUGAGAUACAUCAAGAAACAGGUUUCUAGUCCAAGUUGGUGGUUCCCAUUAAUUUUAAACAAAAAGGUUGAUGCUAAUAUCAUCGCGAAGCUCAUUUCGAAAUUGGAGGAGAAGAUAGAAGACGACCAGUUAUAUGUUAUUAUCCGAAGCAUGUUUGAUGCACAAGUCCUCAAUUUUGAGUUUGGUGGUUUCCCAAAAGGCCAUGGCCUUCCACAGGAGGGCGUAUUAUCCCCGAUAUUAAUGAACGUGUAUCUUGACUUCUUCGAUCAAGAAUUUUAUAGAUUAUCCAUGAGAUAUGAGGCCCUUCAUCAAGGAGAUGAUAAGGAUGAAGAUAAGUCACAUUCCAAGCUACGGAACUGGUUUAGGAGACAGUUAAAGGAAAAUGAUCUUAAAUGCACAACUAAUGACAAUUCGGGCCCAAGAAUUUAUUGUUGUCGUUUUAUGGAUGAGAUAUUUUUUGUAGUUUCUGGUUCCAAAGAUAUUGCUCUUAGUUUCAAGUCUGAGAUUGUAGAUUUUUUAAAGAAUUCUUUGCGCUUGGAUGUUGAUGAUGAACAAACCGGAGUUCUACCUUGUGAUGGGUCUAACGGUAGUCGCUUUUUAGGAGCUUUGGUUAAAAGACGUGUUCAAGAAGGUCCAGCUACAAGUGCUGUGCACAAGUUAAAGGAAAAAGUACGGCUAUUUGCUUCUCAAAAACAAGAUGCUUGGAAUGUCGGGUGUGUUAGAAUCGGGAAGAAAUGGUUGGCUCAUGGUUUAAAGAAGGUUAAGGAGUCAGAAAUUAAGCAUUUAGCAGAUAGUGGCUCUACUUUGAGUAAAGUUUCUUGUUUCCGUAAAGCUGGGAUGGAGACUGAUCAUUGGUACAAGGUCUUAAUGAAAGUAUGGUUGCAAGACAUUAAAGCCAAAGCAGCAGAGAACGAGGAAUCUAUCUUGUCUAAGUAUGUUGCUGAACCGGCCCUUCCUCAUGAACUAAAGGAAUCUUAUUAUGAAUUUAUGAAGUGUGCAGAUGAAUAUGUUUCUUCCGAAACAGCUACUACACUUGCUCUUUUACCAAAUUCAAGCUCAAACUCUGGAUCUGUCACGAUCACUGAGAUUCUUGCUCCAACUGAUGCCAUAAAGAAGCGACUGUUCCGAUAUGGAUUGACCACCUCUGAAGGAUAUCCUCGUGCAGCUUCACUGCUCGUUUUACAAGACAGCAUCCAAAUAAUUGACUGGUUUUCGGGAAUUGUCCGUCGAUGGCUUCAGUGGUAUCAAGAUUAUGACAACUUCAACGAGGUCAAGCUUUUAAUUUCUAGUUUACUGCGGAAAUCCUGUGUUCGUACUCUAGCAACAAAAUAUAGGAUUCAUGAAAGUGAAAUAGAGAAACAAUUUGAUUCGGAACUAUGCCGAAUCCCCUCGAUAGAAGAGGUGGAGCAAGAGCUGACAUAUGAAACAUCAUAUUCUCACCCAUUUGAUAAUGACGAAGCAUUGAUGUAUGGAAUUUCAUAUAGUGGUUUGUGUCUGCUAUCACUGGCAAGAAUGGUGAGCCAGUCAAGGCCUUGCAAUUGUUUUGUUUUGGGUUGCUCAGUGGCAGCACCGAGUGUUUAUACUCUCCAUGUUAUGGAGAGACAGAAAUUUCCGGGUUGGAAGACAGGAUUCACAAGUUGUAUCCAUCCAAGCUUGAAUAAAAGGCGAAUCGGAUUGUGCAAGAAACAUUUAAAGGACUUAUAUCUUGGUCAUAUAUCACUUCAGUCUAUUGAUUUUGGGGCAUGGAAGUGAUGCUGUCAACAAAGCCAAAAAAUAUCAUUUAAACAGUAGACUCUUGAGAAGAAUGGAGAAACCAAACGAAUUGCCAAACCGGUUUGUGUAGGUGGUUUGCUGCCUAUAUUCGGUAUUAAUAGUAAAACACCUCACAAGGAAAAAUGAGCUCGGGAAAUGAUGUACCAAUGGCAAAGAGUGGGAAGAAUAUUACGGGUCAUUUGAACUCAUCUAUGAUGAUCUUCCUGCGAAGUAAGUGUUGUUUUCCUUUACCUAAAGAAACUACUUGAGAUCAUAUUAUUGAUGAACACAUGACAUAGCACAUAUGUAAAGUCCGAUACCGUCGUUACUUCAUGAAAUAGCAUGGAAGGUAGGAAUCGGCGGUCAUCAUCCGUGUCUCCAGACUGGGAAGCCUCAAAGGGGUCUUCAUAGAGAACUGCAGUUGGUUAUUACAGCUUCCUCAUCGGACAGGGGAUCUCUAGAGUCUUGAAAGUUGAGAAAUCUUUAAUGUUACAGUUUUGUUCGCAGAAGUUGCCAACCAAAAUCAUGGCAACUGCAUUCAGAACAGAAGUCUUGAAUCCCGAGGGGAUUCUAGCAACCCGUGUCAAUCCCAAGCCCCCCGCUAGCCUCCCCUAGAUCUGUCCCGGCCAGCCCCUUGCAAGUCUCCCUUUUGGUCCGCCCCUGCUUAUAUACCAUGACAUGGUUGUAUGAUCUGGAUUCAUUUGGAAGAUGGGAGGGAGUGGAAUACUGCAUUUCUUUUUUCUUUUUCUUGGUCAAUUCAGAAUAUCCGUUGAAAUUGCCAUGAAAGUGAGCUGCGGGACAAAACCUGUGGAUUUGACAUUAUACUAAAAAUUCAUGUGACAUAUACAAUUCAAUUUGAUGCUAUAAAUUACAUGGAAACAUGUAAGAUUAUUUUAUGAGAAUUGAAUAUAAUGUUUUUCAAGAUAUUUUAAAGCAACCGGAAUUAACAUUCCUCUCAGCUAUGUUAUUUUAAUUUGAAGUUGAAUGUGAAAUAUGGAUACGCUCAUAUUUUAAUUUUUUUUAUAAACUUAAUUAACUAUAUGGUUAAAAUAUAAACAAGUGUAAUAUAUAAGUAAAGAGAGAAUGUUUUACUUAUGUAAUAGAGUUCUUUUUAUCCCUUGAACCAAUCCCUUAAAUUUUUUUAAAGGGAUGCAUUGCUAAUUCUAUUAGUGUAAAUCUUUUAGUAUAAAUUAGUAAUUAAACUUUAAACCUUAAAAAAUUACAAAAUAGUCAAUGAACCACUUAUAAAUUUUCAUUUAAGAUAUUGGACUUUUAAAAUUGUUGUUGUAUGACAGUUUAAUUUUUUUCAUGAAACAAUUUUGUCACAGAUCUGUAAACUAAAAUUUAAAUAGUUUUUUUUCCAAUCUUUGAUACUGUCAAAUUGAUUUGAAUCUAAAGAAAAAUGUAUGUUCUUCAACUUGUCGAUGGGUUAUACUCCAUUUAUCAAUCGUCGCUUAGAGUUUACUAAUUGGAUUUAAAAAAAAAUUUUAAUAACUAAAUAACUUAAAUAAAAAUUUUCAAAUAUUUUAAUAAUCAUUUUAUAACUUUUUAAAUUUAAGUAAUAUUGAUCGAAAAGUUCAAACUUUUCGAAAAAGUAUAUUUUCCAAAUAAAGUGCGGUCGGAACAAGGCCGAAGGAUGAGUGGGUCCUUAUGCUCUCUAUCAUUUGGUCUGGCUGGCACAUUGACUUGCUUCCUUUAAAUCCCUUUGUAAGGUUAUUGAGCUUGACACAACUGGCUGGUCUGGUCUGCCUCAGCUCAAGCUCAAGCUCUAGCUCCAGCUCAAGUCAGGUCAACUUCUAGGAAGACAGACACUAAAUCUCAAACCCCAACCCAGUUUUCAGACAGAACACAAAACUGAAGUAAGCAAGAUCAAGUGUUUCCAGGUAUGCCCACUUUCUUCUCUCUUUUUUUUUCUUGUCUGAAUAUGAACUGUGUUGAGUUUGCUGCAAAAUGAGCUACAAUGUCAUAUCUUGUUAUUGCUUGUAACUAGUAGCUUGGAUCUUCACAAUUUUGACUUCAAUUAAGUGUCUUCUUUCAUGUGUAUAGCUCUUGUGUUUCUUGGAAUCCACGACCUUUUUGGGGUAUUCUUUGAAUAAGACUUUCUUGAAAGUUGAAAAGUUUCAAAAAAAAAAAAGGGUAAAUUGCAUGUAAUUUGUUCAUCUUUGGGAAGUUUUACAGAUUUUUGUAAAGAUUUUGUUACUUCUAAGUUUCUGUUGAAAGUUGGAUAAGGUUAUCCAUUUCAAUUUGCUCUUGGUUAUUGGAUGAUAGGAAAGGUUGAUUUUGGUAGGGUUGACUCAAUUUUAGUUCUAACAAGAGUGACCAUAAAUGUUGGGAAAUAAUGCAAAAUUUAGCUCUUGAAAGGAACAAAGAAUAAUGUACUAAUUUAUAAACCACCAGCGUUGGAGCCUCAAAACUCGAUGAGAUCAAGUCUUUUAUGUGCUAGAUGUAAUGCCAAUGAGAUCCAUCUCUGUGAUUUUGCAGUGAUAUGCAAUUGCAACUACCAAUUCGUUUGGUCUUACAAUUAAGAAAAUAUGAUAUAUAUAUAUAUAUAUAUGUGUACAUAUAUAUUUGUUACUGCUUCAUAACAAGACAUGGUUUCAGCUAUACUGAUUUACUUGCAUUGGCAGCAUGGAAGCAGUGGCGGUGCAAGCUGGUGGACAAGCUGUUGGUUCACUGAUUACACCAGCAGUUGAAGGUGGAAAGGGUAUUUUCAACUGUUUGCGGCGCAAAUAUGCCUAUGUGAAGAAUAUACGAGAGAAUUUUGCCAAGCUUGAGAAGGAGGAACUAUAUUUGUCUAAUGAGGAUGCGGAUGUUAAAACAAAGUUGGAGAGAAACAAAUUAACAGAAGAAAAGACCAACAGAUGUGAAACCUGGCUCAAUGAGGUCGAAAAUAUGAAACAGGAGAUUAAAAAACUUAAGGUUGACUACAAAAACACCAGACCGUAUUUUUGCGGACUAUGUCCAUUUCCGAGUUUGCUAAAGCUUGGCAAGCGUAUUGUGAAGAAGACAACAGAGGUAGUUGAGCUGAGGAAUCAAAGAGGUCAAAUAACUAUAAUGCAUGAGAAGCCACCGGCACCACCGGUUCCCGUUAUAGAGAAGCAUGCUCGGAAAAAAAGUGAUGUGCCAUCAUUUGAUUCGCAUGUAGAAACACUGGCAGAGUGGUUAGAGGAUGAGAACUUGAAAAGAAUCUGCAUAUGGGGACCUCCGGGUGUAGGGAAGACCAAGAUAAUGGGAAUGUUGCAUGACAGGGUUGGUAAAUCUGGUAAAUUUGACAUCAUCUUUUGGGUGAAUGUAACAGCCAAAGGGAGAAUAAGAGACAUACAGGAUGAAAUAUGGAAGCGUUUAGAUAUGAAAGAAAACGGCAACUAUGUUGCUCAACAAAGAGCAAACAUGAUAUCCGAAAAGCUAAAGGACAAGAGCUAUGUAUUGUUUCUUGAUCUCGAUGACAUUGUCUCAGAGAUUGAUCUUAGAGAAGUUGGAAUUCAUGAUGAAAACGAGCAUGGAAAAGUGGUGUUUGCCUGCAGAUACAAGAACAACAAUAUCUGUGGAGGCACGGAUGAAGAGAUGAACGUGCAGGGAUUAUCGGACAAGGAUGCUGAAAGCUUUUUUUGGAAAAUGGUUGGUUCUGAUCUUAACAGUAAUCCCGAUAUCAAGCCAGUUGCGAAACUCAUCAUCAAAGAAUGUGGUGGCAUGCCGCUCUUGAUCAAGUUAAUUGGCAAUAGAUUGGCAAACGUAGAUGACCCUGCAAUAUGGCGAGAUUUGUUGUCCCAAUUAAGGUCACCGACUAUGGAACCGCAAGAACCACUGGAAGAAGUUUACAAGGCUUUUAAACUUGUCUAUGAAAAACUAUCAGAAGAUAUGAAGCCUUGUUUGCUGUAUUGGGCAGUGUUUCCUGCAGGUUACGAAAUUUUUCGAGACCAUAUAAUUGAUUGUUGGAGAGCCGAACAGUUCUUUUCAAGCCACAGAAAAUUUCCUAGGACACGUGACAGGGGGCAUGCAAUAUUAGAUGAAUUUGUGAGGAAGUCUUUACUAGAAAAGGGAAGAAAAUGGGGGCAUUUCAAGAUGUACGAGUAUUUUCAACGGGUGGCAUUAAGGAUAGCAAAUCUUGAAAAGAACUUAAAUUUUUUCGUCACCGAGGAUGAAAACAUUAUAGACGAAGAGUGGGAACGUGCAAGGAGAGUGUCACUUAUUCGGGUUCGCCUAUCUACUCUACCAAAAAGACCCCAAUGUUGUGGGAUCUUGACAUUGUUACUGCAGGAGAGUAGCUUGACCGAAUUUCCAAGGGAAUUCUUCGGCUAUAUGGAUGGCCUUCAAGUUCUGAACUUGCAUGAAAUACGAAUCACUUCACUUCCACCAUCGAUAUGCAGCUUAAGAAAUCUGAAAGGGCUGUUUAUAAACAACUGUAGUCAAUUAGUACAGCUUCCUUCUCAGAUCGGGGAUCUCCAGCAUCUCGAAAUCCUUGAUAUACGUCAGACCAGUCUCUAUAGUUUGCCCGUUGAGAUUGGAGAGUUGUUGAAUCUAAAAUGUUUGAGAGUUUCAUUCACAGAAGAUGUUGGCAACUACAACCCUGUCGAAGCAGCGAAGCCAAUGAUUCCUUCUAAAGUGAUUGGAAGGCUUUCUAAUUUAGAAGAACUAAGCAUUGAUGUGAGCCAUAGUAGCAGCAGAUAUCAAAAUGCUGCCGAAAUUAUCAGUGAAAUUUCUGAGUUGGCAAAGUUAACCACGCUUUGUUUCUUCUUCCCCGAGAUGGCAUCUUUCAACUCUUUCAUCCAGAAUAGCAAAUCAUGGAAAGGAUGCAAUACACUUUCAGCAGGCAGUAGCUUCAGAUCAUUCAACAUCGUUGUUGGUUGCCGGAGAAACAAUCGUGCUUCUGAAUUUAGAGUCUUCGAAUGUUCAGCCGAGAAGCAUCUGAGGUUUUAUGCGGGAAAUGAAUUUCCAAAUGCGAUUUUAGAGGUACUAAAGCAAGCCAAAGCGCUCGAACUGAUCGGUCACCAAACUGCUACCAGUUUAUCAGGCUUCAGAGCUGAUAACUUGCAAGGAGUGGAAGCAUGUAUUGUCGAGGAAUGUAACCAGAUGGAGAACAUCAUAGAUAGAGACCAAACAAGUAUUGCAUUUCAAGAAAAUGACAGCAUAGGUGUUGAAUUCGAACGCUUGAAAAGCCUAUACAUUUGCAAUCUUCCGAAACUAAAACGUAUCUGGCGGGGCUCGAUUGAAUCUAAAAGCCUCUGUGGCCUUACAACGCUCUCGUUAAAAGGAUGCAACAACAUAGGUAAGCUUUUUUCAGAGGGAAUGAUCAUACAACUCUCUCAGCUAGAAAAGCUGGAGGUGAAGGACUGCCGCCUCUUGACGGAGAUUAUCGAAGAUGGAAGUAUGGUCGAAUCGCACUCCUUUCCCAAGUUGAAGUAUUUGCAGCUCCAUGACUUGCCGGAAUUAUGCUCCAUUUCUCAUAUCUCCUUGGAAUGCCCUUCCUUGGAGACAGUAUUGAUCAAGCCGUGCAUGAAGCUAAGAAAUUUACCACACACAAUUAAAAAUGCAUCAAAACUAAAAACGAUUCACUGCACAGAAGAAUGGUGGAAUCAACAGGAUUGGCCAAAUGACACUAAUAAAGAUGAUUUCAAAAACUUCCUGAGUUUCAUAUGAUAAGAGGAGCCUCAACUAGGGACAAGACAUCCCAAGCAAAAGGCAUUAUUGAAGAGACGGUUGAAGAUUUAGUGAGAAUCAAGAGAGAUAUAAGCCCGGACCUGACCAUAUGCAGCUCUCAAGUAUUCUUAGCUGAGUUGGCUCAUGUGAUAGCCGAGACCCAGUGGGAAUUGGUCAUUGUUACAUUUUUUGUCCUUGAACUUCUUCUCCAAAGAUUUUUCAUAUGUAUGGAGAUUCACCCAGCCUUCAACCAAUGAGGUAAACUCUCUCCUCAUAAUCACACUCCUACCUCUCGAUGGUUUCUCGUUUUUUUUCCAUUUGGUAUUGGGUGUGAUUAGAAUAGGACUACCCCCUUCGUUUUGCAUGUUUUCCCUUCCUUUGUCUCAGCCAGUUACUAUGUUGCGCUUUAUCGAGUUGAAGAAACAUUGUGUGCAGCCUGCCAGAGUGGCAUUGUCUCCAACAGCGAGACAUUGAAUCCUUUUUAAGUUAAAGUCCUAUAACACGAAAAUAUGUGGUUAGCUAAGUUCGUGUUGAAUUUUCUCAAUGACUGUUCGUUUGUUUUUGAGUGAAUGCUAGGUUUUCUGUUAGUUCAUUGUAAUCACUUCGUGUGCAUUAAUGGCUGUAUUUCAGAAUUCUUUGGUUUUAAAUUUCUUGAUUCAUUCUUUGCAUGUUUGGAUGUGAGUAUGAAAAUGUGAUCGUCCAAAGACCCACCACCAGACGGUCUGCUUCCGGGAGCUGAUACAAAGGUUCCAUUUUCUGAAGCAGAUGCAGACUUGGCGGAUUGGGUCUGAAAGUUGAGAACCCUUGGGUUUUGAUUAUUAUUUGGGAAGGAUUUGAAUUUGCUAUCUCUAUCGGGUGUAUAUAGUUGGUUAUUUUAUUCUGUUUUUCGAUGUUCAUUAGAGACUCAAUUCAAAAUCAACACUAAAUGAUUGGACCAAUUGUUUAGAAAGUUACAAAAAUGAAACAAGAGGUUGAUGCCUGUAGAGUCCUACGUUUAAAAGAUGUUCAGGGAAAUUUCACUACUUUUUCAAGUAGAAUUACUUGAAAAAGGAAUCUAUAAAAAAAAAAGGAGAGGCUGUUUUUACUUUUUAUAUGCUCUGUAAGAACAUGUCUUCUUAGUUCUUACUGAAUAAUUCUUGAUGAAAUAGGGUAGUUUUUUUUUUUUAUAAAUAAUCUUGAUAACCAAACAAAUAAAAAUUAUUUAAUCACUCAAUUUUUGAACUUCUAUACUUUUUCUUAAAUCUACAAUAUUAAUUAAUCAUUCUAAUUUCAAACAUAAAAACUACUUGAAAAUAAUCAAAUAAAAUUUUGAUAGGUUGUGGAGACCUACAAAAAUAAAACCUUCUUAAAAAUAUAAAUGAAUAGAUAUUUCUUAAGUAAAAACAAGUAAAUAUUGGAGGUUAGGAAAUCAAAAACUAAAUUUAAAUUGAACUUAAUGAAGAAAGCAAUGGAAAAAAACUCUAGCCAAAAAUAAAACCAAUUCAUAAAUACGAUCAUCAAUACAAAAAUGCGCCUUUAAUAAAUUAGUUCUAGUUGCUAACUUGAUGUCCGACAACUAAUCUCUUUUACUUGUUCAGUAACUAAAGGCAAUUUAUUUGAAAUUAAUUCCAAAAUUAAUAACUCAAGGUCUAAGAUUUAAAUUAUAACUUUUAUAUGUCUUACCGUUUUAAUGAUUUUUUAUAUUUUUAAAUUUUUUAGAUAUUUUUCUAUUUUUAUUUUUUAAAUUAUAAUUUUUUUUAUAGGAAAUGCAAUCAUCGAAGAUUAAACUACAACCAUUCCAUGUGUAACAACACUAGUACAAAUCUGUAAACUCCAAUUGGCUGUGCCAACACAUCAACUAUUUUACUAGCCUCCUGAUAAACAUGAAUAACUUCAACCUUCCAAUUCAAUCUUAGAAGCCUCUUUAUGCUUCUCACCAACACACUAAUAUCCUGUAUGGUUUCUCGCUCUUUAAUCAGAGAGCUUACAAGAAAAAUCUUUCAAUCAAAAUUAAUGAAAAUGAUUGGGGAAAGAAACAAAUUUUAACAUAGGAAGCUAAUGCUAUAUUUAAUUGUUGAUUUCAGUUAGCUUCUUCCAGAGUUACAAAAUUCAAAACCCAUUAUCACAUAUUGGAUCUAGACAAAUAUGUAAUUUAUUGAAACCAUACAUCGACCUGGCUUGACCUAUAUAGGAAAUAAAAGUGAGCCAAGAUGCAAAGCAGAUUUUAGCAAACAAGAAUUUUACUAUGCUAUAUAAUGAUUUACUAAAAAUGUAACAACUUCCUUCGAUAAAACAAAUGUAACAAACUAAACUACUGCAACUAAAUUUCAAGAAGACGAUUGGUCUAAAACUGCCGCUCAUGAGUUGAAAAGCAGAGGAUAGAACUUACAGAAGAACCAACACAAAGUACCAGCCAGCAAGCAUCCAACUCAUCAAUUCUUUAAACAGCUCCAAAUAUUAUCAAACUUACGCGGCGGAUUGGGCUGCAAGCCUCUUCCGGGCUUCCUCAAUGAUCGACAACUUGAUACCCUUGCCCUUAGGAAGCGAAACCCACGGCUUUGUCCCCUUACCAAUUGUAAACACAUUGCCAAGACGGGUUGCAAACUCGUGGCCAGCAGCAUCUUGAACAUGGAUUGUCUCGAAGCUACCCUUAUGCUUCUCUCUGUUCUUAAUCACUCCAACACGUCCCCUGUUCCUUCCUCCAGUGACCAUGACAACAUUCCCGACAUCAAACUUGAUGAAAUCGACAAUUUUGUUGCUCUCUAAGUCAAACUUGAUGGUGUCAUUAGCCUUGAUCAACGGAUCUGGGUAGCGGAUUGUUCGGCCAUCAUAAGUAUUGAGGUAUGGAAUACCCUUCCGGCCAAACUGUACAGACCGAACUUUACAAAGCUUAAACUGCAGAACCAAAGAUGAAAAGACCAUGGCCAAUCAUUAGAAUACCAUCCACAGGAUCGAAAAUAUGGAGAAAAACUAAUCAAAUAUUAGACAACAGUAACAAGAAAUAUAACAAAUUGAGGUUGUAUCGAUACAAACCUUCGACUCGUCACCAGUGAUGGCAUGAAGGCGGAAUCGACCUUUUGUAUCGUAGAGGAGACGGAAGUCCUCAUUCGUCUUUGGAAUUGACACAACAUCUGGAAGUAGGAAAUAAAGAAUAACAACCAAUACAUGAUUCAAAGAUAUUGAAGCACACAGAAAAGGUACAAAAAUAAGUCAUCGUGAAAGGUGAACCAUUAAAAAACUCUAGAAAACUAAAUUAUCUGCCAAAAAAUAUUGCCAAUUCGCCAUGUACUUAAAACCUAGAAUGAAAGUAACGACAUCAGGCCAAUUUGCAACAAAAUGAUUUGUGUAGAAGACAUGCAAGAAUCAAAGAAAUGAUGCUGUACUUCGUAUAAGUUUAUCAUUUGAAAAUACAAAAAACUCUCCAGAAAUCAAAUUCUACAUACCCAUGAAACCAGCUGGAUAAGUCUUAUCAGUUCUAACCUUCCCAUCUACCAUAACAUGCCUCUGCAUAAGAAUAGCAAUCACUUCUCUAUAUGUCAGAGCAUACUUUAAUCUGUUUCGCAGAAUGAGAACUAGUGGCAAGCAUUCCCUGGAUUUGUGAGGUCCAGAUGACGGCUUUGGUGCCUGCAUGAACAAAGAAAUUAUAAGAACACAAAAUAGAGGCAGUGAAUUGAACUGGUAAGGAUGUAAAAGGGUUUUUGAGAUAAUAACAUACAAAUGCACCGCCAAGUUUGUCGAGCAUCCAAUGCCUAGGAGCAUUGAGCCUCUUCAAAUGUUUCUUCAACCCUCUAGCCUGCAAUAGACAAGGAAAAAUAUAGCUUUAAAUAAAGCCACAAUGUAUAGACUUUGAAGCACAAGAACUUUCAUCAGGGAGAAAAUAAGUCGCCCCAGAACCAAAUCGCAAAGUAGAUUUCACACAUUUAGAAACUAAAUCCUAGAUAAACUUGUAAGAAAUCAGAUAUAGAGGAACCUCAUCAAUUGAAAACUAAUAUAAAACACAAUUAAAAGUAACCAUAUGAUCUUAACAUUCACUUCAGCAACUACACUUCCUAUUUCCCCAUCAUGUGGAACACAAUGUAGAUUCCACACAUUCAAAAACUAAAUCAUUGUUAAUCUUAUGGUAAAGAAGAUAUAAAAGAACCUCCCAUCACGAGAAACAAUAUUAAAAAAAUAAAAUAAAAUAAAGCUGCUGUUGCCAUACAAAACCAGAUAUUAGCUAGACAAGAAAAAAAAACACAAUUUCAUGAACAACCCAAGAAUACCCACCAGCAAAAAUCAACAAUACAUUCAUUUUUUUAAUAGAGAAAUGUUGCAAAAAAUGUCAAAAAUAGGAAACCCGGGGAUUGAAAAAGCAAAGAAUGAAAACAACAGCGAAGAGGAGAGUAAAGAACUGACCAUUUUGGUGGAAUGAAGCUGUUUCCGCUGAAAGCCUUUACCUUUCCAGGGAAGGUGCGAAUAAGAGAGAGACGAAAAAACCCUAAUCUAUAUUCAGUGGCAAUUUAUGGUUUAAACUUAGCUAAAUUGGGCGACCCGGAUGGAGGCCCAACUCUUCUUUUAUCAAUAACUUUUUAAUUAAAUAAUAAUAUAUCAUUUGGUGCUCGAAUUUUCUUUUUUAAGAUGGUAUCAGUAUUUUUAUCUUAUUAUAGUACUUGUAUUUGAGAAAAAUUAUACAUUUUGGUACUCAAAUAUAACAAUAUUAAUUUUUUUAGUAUUAAUUUAGAUUUUAGAGUUUAUUUAAUGGAAGUUAAUUGCUGACAUUAUUCAGGUUGAGUUUUUAUGAUUUUGUUAAUAAAAUAAAUUUAGUAUAAGUUAUGAACUUGUUUAAUUUAUUAAAUACAAUAUGAUGGAUGUGAUUUUUUUCGAAUUUUAAGAUCAAUUUAAUGGAAGUUAAUUAUAAACUUUCAUCAAUUUAAUCUUAAAAUCCAAAUAAGAUACUAAAAUUUAACAUUGUUACCUUCAAAUAUUAAUAAAUAUAAGUUUUGUCGAACAAGAGUCCCAUAAAGAGGAAAAAAACACAAAUAUCUCAUUAAAAAAAUCCAAUUUGGAUACUAAAUAAUAUAAUAAGUGAAAAACUAUAUUAUUAUCAUUAUUUCAGUAUGAAAAAAUAAAUUAAUAUUUAAAAAAAAAAAAAACAGCAACACGAAUAAAAACAUAAACAUAACACAAUAGAAGUGCUAUAAUAAAUAAUGCAAACUAUAUCAGCACAACACGUACACGAAUUCCCAAGGGUUGCAAAGAGUUUAUGUUUAAAAAAAAAAAUUGCAAAUACAGAUGGUAUUUGAAUUAGAUCGGAUCGAUCAAAAAUGGAUUAAAAUAUCAAUCUAAAAAGUGACUUUUAACCGAUUAAUUUGAAAUUUGAUAUAAAUCAAUUAAAUUAGGCAAAAAACAGUUGAAACAUAUUUUUAACUUUUUAUUAUUUUUAAUCAUUUUUAAUUGGACCGGUACAAAUGUUUAUUUUUAAACCAAUGUAAGUUAAGUAAACAUUACAGAAUAAAGUUGUAAUGCUUUUUAUAAGAAAAAUACUAUUAUUAAUAGGAACUAUGAACAACAAUAAUACAAAUAUAUGGUAUAUAAUACAAACGGUAAAUAAAUCAUAAAUGCCAUGUUUGCAGAAUAAUCACAAAAAAAGAUAAGGAUAAUUGACCGUAAAUGCAACGCUGGAAUAAUUUAAAAAUAAACUAGAGCUAUAGCAAUUUGGUCAAAUCACUGAAAUUUGCAUCCUAGCCUCGCCAUCAUCAAAUUAACCUGACAAUGAAUACUGAUUAACUAAGAAAAAAUGCCAAAAAUCCCACAGACCUACCGCAUCAGUGAUGCAUAAAAUGUCGAGUCUCAAAUGGUUUAUUUCCUCAUCAUCAUAUCGAAUCUAUCGCCAUCAAUGUGAUCUAUCAUGAUAAAUCUCUUCUAGAACAGUUCCUAAUAGAUCUGGUGGUAUCCUUAUAUUGACAAAUUUUACAUAUACGCUAGAUAAUGACUACAAAUUAAAAGUAAAAAUAAAAUUACAUUUGCUUUCAAAGAAAAAAAAUCAGGCAAAACAAAACUACAAUUUUAUAGAUAAAACUGUGAUAAUAUAGAUUGGAAAUAAAAACAAAAUAAAACUACGAAAAAAAAAUAUUGAAAAAACUAUGACUCUCGACCGGCGACACCACCUACGAAACAAAGGUUUAGUUUGAAAAGUUAAAUAACUAAAGAUUUUAUUAAAAAAAAAAAAAAAGACGAAAUCUAUGUAAUAUUUGAUUGCCUUGAACCUAACCUUUUUAUUUCAAUAUGAAAAUCUUCAAGUAUUUUUUUUUACUGAAACUCAUUAACUAUAGUUGUCUUCAUAUUAAUGUGACAAAUGGUAGUCUGUAAAUUCAACCCCAUAACUUUGUUUUAUUUUUCUGUAAUCUUUUUAAUAAUUAGGCACAAUUCAAACGUUAAUUUGUUAAAACAGUAAAAUUCUGAUACAAAAUUUAAUAAACUAGGAUCUGUUAUGUCAGAUUAUCAAUACUCAAAAUUAGAUAUGAAAAUGUAUAUGAAUUUAUCGAUAUGUUGAAAUCUUCAAAUUGUAUGGUUUUGGUCUUUCAAAUUAAUACAUAAGUAUUUUAAAGACAAUGACUUUAUUUUUUUGAAGAUUGAAUGUAAAAAAAAGUUACACAUGUGUAAUUUGAUAAUCGUAACUCUAAUAUAUAACUUUUUCACAUUAACAUUAUUUUCUAUUUAGCCCAUAAUCAAUUAAAAAGUAGUUAUUAGAUUAUCUACGCACGUUUAACCUGCAUUCUUUUAAUAACUAAAGCCAAUAAAUCUUAAUCAAGCUAAAUCAUUUUUAAUUUGAACUAACAUUUUACGAUAUAAAUAAUAAUGUGUAAUUAUUUUUUUAUAUAUGUGAUGAUUUACUAAUAAAAAUUAUUUGAAAAUUAAUAAGCUGAUUCAUACUUUAUAAGGAAUUAAGAGAUAAAUCGAAUAUAAUUUAACUCGAUUCAACCAUUAAAACCUUAUAUCUUCAAAAAAAAAAAGUUAUGAGUGCAACUUAAAAUUUGCUAGGUAGAAUAAAAUCAUAUAAUAUUUUAUAUUAAGUUAAAGAUUAUAUGUAAAAAUAAAAUAACAAAUAAUUCCAUUCAACUUAUAGAACUAAAAUUAGAAAUUUAAUUGUGUUUCAACCUUGAAUAAAUCAAUUCAAGCAAUACGUGUAUAUAUAUAUAUUAUGAAAAUGAAACAUAGUGCACAACUUUUGGCUUGUAAUGAAAAACGAAUGUGCCAUGAAUUUGCAAAGAUGCAGUUGCAAAAGAAGAAAAAAGAAAAGCAAGUUGACCUAUCGUUGACCCAAUUUUUGAAUUUCAACUUUGACCCAAACUUGAGAUUUGGUUAAGAAUUUAUUGCCCCGACAGGAGUAAAAUACACUAUAUUUAGUUAUUUACCAGGUCAAAACCAAUCAAUAUUUUUUCAUAAACAAGCACAUUUCAGGUCCCAGUGUGAAAUAGAUAUAUACUAUUAACAUUAUGCUAUUAUUUAAUUCAUUUAUUAAAUUUAUUUACGAGUAAAUCGAGUACCAAUUCAAUUAAGAAAAUUACAAAAAUAUUUAUUCAUAAAAUACGUAUAUGGUGAGAUUUGAACUCACAGCAAUUGGAUUGAUAAAACUUUAAAUUUAUCACACAACAAAAGCUCCAUUUUGAUAUAUUUUUGUACAUUUUUAUUUUAGUAUGCACAAUUUACUAUUUUCAUCAAUUAUACAUAUUAAUAAUGUUGUUAAUUGAGUUUGUAUCAUAAAUCAACUCGACACUAACUUACAAUUGUAACAACAUGAUGAUAAACAACUCUAGUGCAUUUAGUAUUGUUAGUAUGAUGUAUUUAUGUGCUAAAAUUUUAUUUUGCUUAUAAUUUAAUCUAAUUUUUUUACUUUAAUAUCAUAUAUAUUUUAAUGUGUUAUUAUAAUUAAUUAAUUUCAAAUAACACGUUUCAUUAUUUAUUGUAUGUUAUUUUUAAACACAUAUUUAUAUUCUAUAUAUAUAGUUUCUACACGCAUACACGUGUGAUAUGUUUUCUAGUAUAGAUCAAAUUUUUAUAUUCCAUGAUAAACGAAAAAAUAUAUAAGCAAUAUUAUAACAUGAAAACUAUAAUAUAUAUUAUAUUCGUGGUGAAGUUUUAAAAUUUUAUAAGAAGGAUUAAAUGAGUAAUACAUAAUUUAUUAAAAUAAUAAAUAAUUAAUCAAUAACUAUUAAAUAUAGUGAUAAAGUACAUAUUCAAAUUCCAACCUUCAAAAUAAUAAUAUUAAAAGGAGCCACUAUAAAUCUUAAAAAAGUUAAUCUUUAUUAAUAAAACGAUAAUUUAAAAUAUAAUUUGAUAUAUACCAAUAGCAUUCAUGAUUCAAAAGAAAAACUUAAUUUGUUAGGCUCUCUUUGAAAUGGACAUCACUUGUAUCGAAUUAGGACCCUACCAAAAAAAAAAAAACCCAAUUUUGAAUAAUUUAGUUGGCCAAACCCAAUCUGCUUUCUAACAUAAUUUAUAAUCACAAUUGGAACAUUUGAGAAUCGCAACACCAAACCAAACACUGCCUUUUCCAUAAAUACUCUUUACAUUGCAAUUUCAUUUUCUUGCUGAAAUAAAAAUAUAUUAUUUCUUUUAAACAUAAUGAUUUAUUUCAUCUUUUAACUUUAUAAAAAGUUAUUUUAGUCUUUCAUUUAAAUUUUCACUUCUUUUAGUCAUUAACUUAUAUUCUUUUUUAUCAAAUCACCCCAUAAUUGUUGAAAAAAAUUAAUGUUUGUUAACUUUGCUAACACGGUAUACACUUGGAUGGUAUUUUUAAUUAUUUUUAAAAUUUCAAAAAUAUUUUAUACUUUUUAUACAUUUUUAAUAAUUUUAUUGAUUUUUAAAUUUUAAAAACAAUUUCUAUAUUUUAUUUUGAAUUUUUAAAAAUUAAAUAAACAAUUAAAUAUUUAUGUGUCAUCCAUAUGUAUGCCAUAUCAACAAAGUUAGAAAAUGUUAACUUUUUCAUCCAUAUUGAAGUGAUUUGACCAAAAAAAUACUGAUUCAAAGGCUAAAAAAUACAAAAAAAAUUUUAAAAAUUUUUAAAAAUCUUUUUAUAAAAUUAAAGGACUAAAUAAUUCAUUAUGUCUUAAUUUUAUAUAUUGUUUUUGACUAAGAACCAGUACCUUGACCUUAAAACAUGGGAAAAAGUAUAUAUGAUUAUAAAUAAUUAAAAUAAAUUGUGUAUUUAAAGUUUAUUUAUAAUAAUUAUAUUUAAAAUAUUUUAUAUAUUCAUAUAUAUUGUAUUACAAUAAUGAUAUAUAAUAUAUAAAAAGAGAAUAUUUGAUGCAUUGUCAAUUCAUAAGUUUUAUGCACUACCGAUUAGGAGUGGGUGUUCAAUCGAAUCAUGUCAAAUCGAGUGAAAAAUUUCGAGUUAAUUGAGUUCACAAGUCCUAUUUUAUCAUCCUAACUCAAUUUUAAAUUUUUUUUAAAUUGAGUCAAGUUGAAUCGAGUAAAAUUAUUCAAAUUAAAUUCAAAAAAUAAAAAUAUCAAAUAAAAAUAUUAUUACAAUACGACUAAUUUUAUAUUAGAGUACAUAAAUUUGAAACUAUAUAUCAUUUUAUUAUUUAAUGAUAAUACAUAAAACUUAUGUAUACGAAGUUGCAUCAAAUAUCAUUCCAUAUAUAAAUUCUGAUUUUAAUAUUUAUCGUAUUCACAUUGAGACCGUGUCUAAUAUUGCAUACAAACAUUGUAAAGCAUAUUUUGACCGUUUCUUAUUGGCCCACCUGUUUAUUACGUGUAAAAUGGUAGGCGUGUGACAAACUUUGAAAAUGUGUUCUUACAAAACAUCACUUUGAAAUUGAAAUUUACGCUUUGAUUAUUUUUGUCUUGGAGUUUUUCAAGUUUACGAAUAAGGCUAAAUAAAAUCAAAUGUAUUUGUUUUAAUUUAAUUUAUUUUUUUAAUAUUUUUAAAAAUACUUGACAAUAUUUUUACCUCUGUUCGUAGAAAUUUUAACUUGUGAACUAAAUAAUUUUCCUUGAUUUUAUUCGUUUUUUAAUAUAAUUGAUUUUCUAUGAAAAAACUAUUUGGAAAGUUGAUUUUUUAUAUCAAAUAAUUAUAGAUUCAAAAUUAGAAUUAAAUUUUAAUUAUUUAAUUAUAAUAUUUAUAAAAUUAUUAAUUAAAUUAGUUUCAUAGGUUAAUUGAAUACAAGCUCAAUUGAAAAAAAAAAUUAAAAGGUACUUAGGUUAUUCAAUGACUACAUAUUAUAUUAAAUAACUUAAAUUAUAAGUUUAAAUGUAUUUUCAAAAUGGAUUAAAAGUUAAGUUGAAAAUUUUAAAAUGUUUUGGGUGUGGAUUCUGAUGUUAAUUUUAUAUAUUUUUAUAAUAUAAAUUAUUUUUUUAUAUAAUUUCUCCUUAAUAAAUAUAUAGAAAUUCAUGUUGAUAAUAAUAUUCAUAAUAAUUAAAUUAAAGCUCAACCGAUUUAUAUAAAUUAUUAUUAAAUAAUAUUUACGUUAUUCCCUUUAUAUUAUUAUUCUUAUAGAAACAAAAUAUAUUACAUUAUUUAGAUUCAGUUCCUAAAUUUAAAAUAAACUAAAACUUCAAAUCAACUAAAGCGUUCUAAAAGAAACUCUAUUUGUAUUAAAAUUGCAUUAAGAGUUCUGUUAUAAAUUCUUAGCAUUAAUUAAUAAUACAAAGUUCUUAAAAAAUAUUUUUUAAUGUUAGUCAAAAUGAUUAUUUGGGUUAAAUUUAUUAUAUCAAAGAUUAAAGGUGGUAGCAUGAUUUUGACUUUCAUAAGGCAUGUAUCAUGUGGUUAUAUUAAACUCUUUUUUUUUUUUUAAACCUAAAUAAUGUAAAUGGACCGUCGUCUACAUCAAUGAUCACAUCAAAACACAUUCAAUGAAGCAAAAUUAUCAAUUUCCUUGUAAAGUUGCUGGAAUGCCAUCAUAGAAAAUAUUGGUGAAUGAAAUGGACUGUUUUUUAUCUAGUAAAUAAAAAUGGAUAUUUAUCUAAAGGUUAAAAUAUAUUGUUAGUUUUGUAUUUUGAUCAUAAUUUUAUUUCUAAGAGUUGAGUCUCUUCAUUUUUUAUAUUUUAAAAUUUAAGUUUAAUUAUUAAUAUUGUUAAAUCUUUUAUUAAAUUUGUUGGUAUGAUAUUUUAAAAUAAAAAUAUUAAAUUAUUAGUCAUGUAAUUAAAAAUAAUAUUAAAAUUAACUUGAAUUUAACAAAAUUUUAACAAAUAAAUUUUAAUUUUAAAAUAAAAUAUAGGGAUUAAAUCUAAAAUUUUGUCAAAGUAUAUGGACUAAUAAAAGACUUUAACCUUAUCUAAAUCAACGAUCACGUCAGUCCAUUUAAUAAAACAAAGUUAUUAAAUUCAAUUUGAAUCAUUAAAAACACUUUUUUUUCUUGUCAUUUUCUUAAUUUUAGUGUAGUGUAGCUUUCGAAAGAAAAAGUUUUAGUGUGGUGUUAUUCUAUCAAAAAAGAGUUUUAGUGUUGAAAGUUUUCAUCUCAUUUUUAAAUAAAAUAAAAUUGAGGAGUAAAAGAUAAAAUAAUAUUACAUUCGUUUGGUACCCAUAUUCAUAUAUAUAAUUAAAGUUUUGUAUAAAAAACAUAGAAUUAAAGAAUUCUUAUUAAUGCGGAUUAAAUUUUAAUUUAAUUGGUAUCAAUAUUAUUGUUAAUAUAAUAGAAGAGAGGUUCGAGUGUGCACAAAUUCUUAUUUCUUAUCACCUCUUAUUUUUGUUAACAAUGUAUUAUUUUAUAAAUUUUAAUAAUAUAUACUACUAUGUAUAAAAAGAAUGCCUUACAUGACUUUUAUCCAUACAUUGCUUUUUUAUAUGAAAAUAUAAUGGUUAAAUUUUAGUUCUAAUCUCUCUAUUUUAUUGAGAUUAUAUAAUAAUUGUUAAAUUUUAGUUUUGAUUUCUAUAUUUUAUUUAAAUUUAAGAUUUAACUUAUAUAAUUUAAUUUUUACAUAAUUUGGUACCUAACUUUUAUGCCAUAUAUUUUAUUCUGAUUAACAUCUUGAUAUAAUUUUUUAAGAAUUGUUAACACCAUUAAAAUUCUCUAUUAAAUUUAGGUCUAUUAGAAUGUCAAUUUUUAUUACAUAAAUAUCAAGUGAGUAAUUUUUUUUAAUUUCAAAAUAUUACACCAGUUUUAAUAGAAGAAAUUUAACUAUUUUAAUAAAUAAACUUGAAUUUUUAAGUUUAAAAAGUAGAUGAAUUAAUUUUUUUUAAAAAUAAUAUAAAGAUUAAAUUUUAAAAUAUACGAGGAGUAUAAGAUCUUAGAGAAUAUUAUAACUUUUAAAUUUUUAUUUUAUAAUUUAAUAAAAAUAAUUAAUGGCUGACAAUCAUACUAAUAUAUAAUCAUUUAUGCAUCAACUAUUAUAAUUGAUGAAUUAAAAUAAUUAAAAUAUAUUAUUAAUAAAAAAAGUUAAUAACUAAUAUGAAAAUUGGGAUAUAGAUACUGGGGAACCUUAACAACAAAUUUUCAAAUUUUUAUUGUAUAAGCCUCAAACAAUAUAUAUAUAUAUAUAUAUCAUAUAAUUAUAUUAUACAGAAAUCAUGGAAUCCAAAUAGUCAUCCCAUACAAGUAAAGGGAGUUGAAGUUGGGGGCACAUUGAGUGAGAAAGUGGCCAACCCAUCUCUAUUUCUUAUUAAUUCUGAUAUUCUUAAUCAUCACCAUGAUUAGACUGAUGAAUUUUUUUAUUUUUAUUUAUUAAAAAAACAUUUCCAAUUCUAAAUUCAACAAAAGGUAAAAGGUGACAAAAGAAAAAAGAAAAGUAGUACAAUUUCAUAGCACCCAAAGCUACAAAAAGCAAAGAACCUUAUUAAAGUUAUAGAGAUAUAAAUUAGAAAGAGAAACAGAGAUACCCAAAUAUUACAAAUAGUUGAAAAAAAAAUUAAAGUAGAAUAUAAAAACCCCCCAUGUAAUAAAAAAGCAGGGACUGAUAAUUAAAAUAGAAAAAAAAAGAGGCUAAAAGAAAAUAAGAGGGUCUUCUAUGGCUGGCUGCUACUAUCCUUCUUUUCUCUAGCUUCUUAUAACUCAGCUUUUUGAAGGGUUUGCUUUCAGAAUUUAGGAUUUUAGAAGCUCUCCAUUUAAGGUACUUACAUGAUAUAUGUACGAUCUCUUUCAAUUUUUUUUUUUGGGGGGGGGGUGGUUAGUAUAUUGUUUGUUAAGGUUUGGUUUUGUGAAUUAUGUUGUUCAUGCGAAGGUUAUCCUUUUUUUUUUUUCUGGUAUGUGUGUUUAUUAUGUUCNNNNNNNNNNNNNNNNNNNNNNNNNNNNNNNNNNNNNNNNNNNNNNNNNNNNNNNNNNNNNNNNNNNNNNNNNNNNNNNNNNNNNNNNNNNNNNNNNNNNUUGUUCUGCUGGGAGAAGUUUCUUCUGGAAAAGUCCUUUAAGGAAGUUUAUGCUAAUUGUCACGGAUUCAUAUAUUAUCUUUUUUAUUAUAUAUAAAAAAAAUGACAAUUAUAUCUUUUAUGAUGUUUAACAAAACAAUUUUUUUGGACUUUUUCUGCCUGUAUUUAUUUUCUGCAAUUUGGACUGAUAUAUUAGUUUUCAUCAUAGCUUGGAACCUUUAUUUAAUGGUGUUAAGUGAGAAACUAGAGGCUGUGUUUUUUUGUUUGUUUAACUAACAUGGAAGCCGGUUCGGUUAUGAAGAUUCCCCUGUUUCUUCUAUAUACCCUUUGUUCGUAAAGAAUUUUUCGAUUUUGUAUUUGUUUGAUUCAUUGCUGGUAGUGGAUAUAACCUUAAAUAGAGCUUUAGCCUGUUAAUGGUAUGUAACUAUGAAUUUUGAGUUCCCGGGAUUUUCUUGUUGACCUUUCUCUUCUCUAAAAUCAAGCUAAUUUCUUGUUAUCAUGUUACAUGUCUUGAUUCUAGGCAGUUUCAUCUGAUUUCAUGGUCGAGAACUUGAAUUCUCGAAUCUGUUAUUUAUGCAUACUUUUAUGUCUGCAGAUAGAAGUAUAGACAUUUUGAUAAUACACGGUUCGGGGCUGCUGAUAUUUGGUUUUUCUAUUUCAUCCCAUGCUUUGGCUGACACGGUAAUGCUGGCAGUAUGGGAAAGAAGGGAAGUUGGUUUUCUGCAAUUAAAAAAAUUUUCUUUCCACACUCCAAGGAAAAGCUAAAUAAUGUAAGUUGUUAUUCUAACAAUGAUGCAUAUGAACUUCACCAUUUCAUCCGUGCUUUUGUUUCAACUCUACAAAUUUAUACAAUCGUAGAUGAUAUAUGGUUGCUUAAUUUCGUUCUUUCCCUUGUGUAUGAAGUUUAAACAUGCCUGUAGGUUGUGCUGGCAUGAAAAACAGUUUUAUGUUCUCAAACCAGUUUGUGAUUACUGAAUAGAAGAGCAUAAGAACCUGGAAUUUGGAAAAAGGGUCUAAAACAAAAGUGGAUAUAAUUAGUUGCCUUUUGAUGAACUAUAGAUGCAUCUAAUUGGAGUGUGAAAUUUCUGAUUGAAGUCGAUUUUGUUCUAUGUUCAGCUAUUUAGCUCUAUGUAUUUGUUUCCGACCUCGUAGCAUUAGCAAGCUCUACUGCAUAUUUUGUGCAUACAAAGCGGCAUAGUAAAUUAGUUCUUUUUCCCUCUCAAAGACAUGGUUUGGCAUUUUUGGCUUGUAAAGCAUGAACUUUUUCUGCCUAAAUGUUGCUGAAAGGAUACCUUAUAUUCCCCAUGGUUAAAUCUUUUUCAGGAAUCGGAUAAAAGAAGUGAUAAAGAAAAGAAGAAAGGCCCAGGAAAAUUAAGGCAUGGAGAAACCAAUUCCUUCCUUCCCCUCUUUAGAAAGCCCAGCAGUAUAGAGAAAAUUCUGGGGGAAGCUGAACGAGAGCAUAAUCUAAUAUUCAGGCCUCCCACACCUCCAGAGCAGCCAAAAACACCACCUUUUGUGCCUCAUAGACCUGCAUCUCCACAGGGUCCAUCUCCGAGGGUUGCCUCUCCUAGGGUUGCUUCUCCAAGAGCUGCUUCCCCUCCACGAGCUGCAUCCCCUAGAGCUGCUUCACCACCUCCACCUCCACCCCCUCGAGCUGCUUCUCCACGAGUUGCUUCUCCACGAGUUGCUUCUCCAAGAGGUGCUUCUCCAAAACCUGCUCCUUCUAGGAUUGUUCGUCCUCGACCAGAACCAACUUUAAAGAACCAGCAUGCUUCAGCGACCCAAAUUCAAGCAGCCUAUAGAGGUUAUAAGGUAAGUCCUUUAUUAUUCUAACUAACAGAAUAUUUCAAGUGCAAUUUGGGGGCAACCGGUGUGAAAAGACAAACAAUGAGAAAUAUUUGGUGGUUGAACUCGAGAGAAGUAGAGAAUAAUUAAUAUGUUCAAUACUUCACAGGCAAAUACUGGUAUGGGAAGUUAUUGCUUGCACAAGUGUGGUCUAUACCUGGUCACUUUCCCCUCCACUUUUCGACCUGCUGAUAUUAAUAGAUUUACUAAAGACCUUUCAAUAUUAGUGGCUAUUACAUAGGCUGAAGUAAUAACCGAAUUUUGCUUGUGCAAAAAGUUAAUUACUAUGCUACAGGUUGUAUGCUGGACUGUGCUAUCAUGUUGUGUGAUGCACAGUAGAUACCUUUAGAUUGACAUGUUUUGCAUCGAUAUUUGAUUCCCUACUUGAUUAUCAUGAAACUUGGAAUACAGGCAAGGAGAAGUUUUAGAGCUUUGAAAGGCCUUGUGAGGCUUCAAGGAGUUGUGAGAGGUCAGCAUGUGAAACGCCAAACUACGAAUGCCAUGAAGUAUAUGCAGCUUUUGGUGCGAGUUCAGUCUCAGAUUCAGUCACGCAGGAUCCAGAAGUUAGAAAACCAAGAACGACAACAGGCUGAGUCUAAGGAAGCAGAGAGUACCUUAGGCAAAUGGACCAGCCAGGUAGUAAGUCGUCAUUUGGUCAUUGAAUCUUAGUAUUUCUUUUAAGUAGCUACAGCUUAUCAAAUCUUGAGAUGCCCUCCUAAAUCCAAUAAUUUGAAUCAUUGAAAUUUUUUAUGCCAGCAUUCAUUUGAACAGUAAAAGCGAAGAAUUGUCUGAUUUUUUUUGCCAUUUUCCUUUGUACUUUCGAAGUAGCAUUGAUAUAUUUCCAUUAAAACUGUUAGAUAAAGUAAUAAAUUAACACAAUUCUUCCACCUUUAACCUUGAUGAAUUCUUCGGGUUCACAAGACACUUAGCGAACUUGAAGAUCAUGUAUUCAUGUUUGUUUCAUGUACGUUUACUCUCUUCAUAGCUGUUAAAAUGUGUAACUUCGUUGAAUGUUGGAUUAGUCCGAGGCAGGCAACGAAAACUGGGAUGACAGUGUGCUAACAAAAGAGGAAAGAGAAGCAAGAAUGCAGAGAAAAGUGGAGGCAGUCAUCAAGAGAGAAAGAGCCAUGGCCUAUGCAUAUUCCAACCAGGUACACUUUUUAAGUUUUACCAGCCGACUCCGGUUUCAACUGUACCAUAGUGUUGGAUGGUUUACGACUUACUUUUGAGUCUUCAUUUUUCCUGGAGUAUCCCUAUCUAUUGCGUAUCUGGACAAUGGUACAAGUAUAUGGUCAUCCAAUAACCCUCUAAAUCCAUGGAAAAGUUAAUAUGUAUUACACAUACCCAUAAAAAACGACAUAAAAAAGUUAUUUUUAAGUAGGUUUCUGCUAAUUAACUGUAGCUUCUGAGUUGAUGGAGAAAACAGUCAGAUGGGAUUGAGCGUCAAAUUGUAGGAAACUCAACUACAUAUUAUCAAAGAUUUUCUUUAUUUGUUCUCUUUAUGAUUUAAAACCUUUCUUCGUACAGCUAUGGAAAUCAACUCCGGGAUCCGGCAUUCGCUCUGGCGGAUUUCCAUGGUGGUGGAACUGGUUAGAUCAUCCACUACCGCCUGUCAAUGCUCCUGGAAGCCAAGGCACAAAGAGUUUCCAACUUACCCCACCAAGGCCAAAUUCCCAACUGAAGCCUAGUUCAAGGCCGCAGUCAAGCAGCAGCAGGCAAAGGCAAUUCACCUAUGACAACAUCAUGGAAACUCCUACACCAAAAUCCACAAGGUCCACCAUUCUCCAUGCCAAAAGACGGAUGCGAACACCGCCUUCAAGUUCAAGAGCAAGGGCUAGAGGAGCUGCUUCACCAUUCGACUUGCACGUAAAGGACGAUGAUAGCCUUAUGAGUUGCCCACCAUUUUCUGUUCCAAACUACAUGAAUCCAACAGUUUCAACCAAAGCCAAAACCAGAGCUAACAGUAAUCCAAAGGAGAGGCAUGUUGGUACUCCCCAAAGCGAGUCAAAUCGGAGGCUUUCGUACCCAUUAACACAAGGGAUUGGUUCAUACAGGUCGAACAAAGGGUCUAUAGGCAAUAUGAGUGUUGAUUCAACACCAUCUACGCCUGCUACCAUCACUGGUGGAAGAAAGCCAUUUAACAGAUUUGUGUGAUUUAUUUAUUUAUUUUUCUUUUUCUCUGAUUUAACACUUCAUUACUUAUUUAUUAUUUAUUGUGGGUGUGUUUUUCUUGAUUGAGCGUAUGUGUAUGGUUAUAUAUGCUGUAAACUACGAUAUUAGGAAAUUGUGGUUUGAAUAUAACAGGAUUUUAGGGUUUGGUGAGAUAUUAUCAUCUCUUUCUCUUUCUUGUUUAUUAUUAAUGCAAAUAUUUUAGAAAUCUAAUCCCUUUGCCAGUCAUGUUCUUCAAAAUCAAGACUACCUCCUCCGUCAUCAAGGAAGCUUCUAAAAUCCAUUGAAAUCGGAUGGUAAUAUUCUCUGUUUUCCCUUUGGGGACCAUGAAAACAACGAAGAAAUCAAUUUGCUAAAAAAUUGACAUUUUUGUACGAAAAUCAAGGACGGCACAAAAUAAAAAAUCCGAUUCGUUUUCGUUUAUCAAACAGAAAAACUUCAAACAUUGACUUGAAAUAUUAAAUUAAAAUUAAAGUGGAAGGUAUAAAAAAAUGUAGCGACUUGUUCGAGGCCACGAUCAAAACGAAAAAUUGAAAUUUGAUGGGCACGGAGAAUCGCUUAAUGAUAUCGCCAACCUUCAAUGCAAAUCACGCCAUUUUUUUAACUCGACGCCUUUGCUCUGCAAAUUGGCUUUCCUUUAAUUUAAGGGAAAAUAAAAGGAAAACAGACCAACGAAAAAGGAAAAUUAAUCUUAAAAAUAAAAACCUUGAAAGAAAACGGAGAAGAUGAAGAACCUAAAGAGACUGCAGAGAUAGGUUGAAAUAAAGGGCGUUUAUAUAGGGGGUAUAGGAAGUGAGCAGCCAAAACCCUAACCCUAAUAAUAGGAGAGAUUCAUUGACUUGAAUUACGUCUGAAAUGGCUAAACUGCCCUUAUAUAGUUUUCUUUUUUGAACUUACGGCCCUUGUAAAGUUUUUGGGCUUUUGUUAGACUUGUCUGGUUUAUAUGUGUACAUGUCCAUUUAAUCGUUCAUAUUUGUGACUAAUGUGUGUUCUUUUCUUAAGAAUGUAAUAUAUUUUUAUCACUAUACUUAAUACUUAUAGGUGAUUUGUUUAUAAACCUUGUUACUAACAAUAUGUUUCUAAAGACUUUAUAUAAUGUAACUGUAUUAUAUAUUUUUUAAUUAUUUCAUAAUCACAUUUGAUACAUUAAUAAUAUUUCAUAUAAAAUUUAAAACAUGUAUUUAUUGAUAUUGUAUCAUAUUAUCUUUAAUUUUUCACGUCAUCCGUCUUCCAAUUAUAUUUAAGUGCCACUAUUGUAAGGUAACUUCAAAGAGAAUGAACUUGUCAUAUAUGUUAAAAUUUGGGACCCUCGCCAUUAUUUUUAAGCUGUAAAAAAUUUCUCCAAACUUAGGUCGAGUUUUACUUACAAAAUUCAAGCUCAAUCCAAGAUAAAAAUUCCACAACUCCUAAAUGAGAUAGAACAUCCUUAACAUAAAUGUGAGAAAUUUUCAUUUGGCAGAAUCCAAUACAUGAUUUAUGUCAUGUCUGGCUGCAAAUUGCAAAGCAAAGGAACUUUUUGAGACUGUGUUUAAACACUAGCAACACCAUAAAACCAAACAAAUUGGUCAGAAUCCAAAAUUGCUAAAGGAAUUCAGACAAAUGCAUACAUCAAUGACUAUUCAAGUUUCACAUAAAAAAGGUGCACAUCCAAUGAUUAGCUCCUUAAGCAAAUGAAUACAUGUGUGCAAUAGUUAAUGAAGCAAAUGCUGUCAAUAGCUUAGGCACUCAAAAACUCCUAAGCCUUCAACCUGUUCUGGUCCCUUUUCUGAAAUCAGCAAUCAAGGGCCUUCUUUACUUUGAGCAUCUGCCAAUAAUAACUUGAGGCAAUAUAAAAAGGGGUAAGACAAUAUUUAGUCUCUAAAAUUGGCAACUUUUUUCCAAUUUGGUCCCUGAGUUUUUUUGUCCAUAUUAGUCCCUGAACUAGGCAUCUUUUCCCAACUUUGGUCCCUGUGAUUAUGUGACACUCUAAGAUUUUGCCACUAAAAAAAAAUUAUAUGGACCAAAACUGGUAGGAGUUGCCAAGUUCCAAGACUAAUGUGGACAAAAAAAAAACCAAAUUCAAGGACUAAAUGUUGCUUUAUCCCAUAUAAAGAUGCAGAAUGACAAAACAGAAUUAGCAUAUGGGAGAAAUUUUCAUUUGGCAAUUUCCAAUACAAGGUACAUGCUAUGUCUGGCUGCAAGAGAAACACUUCUGAGAAUGUUUUAAACACUAACAGCAACAUAAAGCCAAAGAAAUUUGUUAACAGCCAUAGUUUCUAAAGGAAUCUUCAUAUAUGUGAAGUAGUUAAUGAGGCAACAGCUUUCAGUAGCUUAGAUACUGCUAAGCUUUCACUUCGACUUGUUUUGGCCCGUGCUCAGGUAUUAACAAUCCGAGUCCUUCUUUAGUUUGAGCAUAUUGAUUCUUGUUCUGAUACAUUGGAUUUGAAGUCAACACCCUUAACCCUGAGUUCCUAUCAAUCUCCAAAACUUCAGGCAAUCCAUUGAUGCAACCUUUCGACAUUCCUACAUCUAUCCUUAUUGCCCUAUUAUCACAAGCACCAUUAAUGCCGAUCUCUUGAAUCGUAUGGCCCAUUAUCAUCCUUUUCGCACCAGGAAUCGUAGCAAGAACAUGUUCUAGGAGCGAACAAUCACAGUUCUUGGCAAACUCAUCCGAAAACUUCCUCAACCAAACAACUGCAUUCCUCCCUCUACAAUACUCCGGUGCUCGCUGCCCCAUCAAUCCAUUAAUCCAAUCCCUCACCUCAUCAUUGAUCCUUUGCAAACCAUAGUCUACAUGUUUCUCUAAAAGGCCACCGUGCACGAAAACUGAGUCUCCAACAACUAAAACAGUCAAAUUAUUAGCUAAGAACCUACGGGAGAUUGGACCAUCAGGUCUCAAUGCAGCAAUUCUGGCUCUAAUACUAUGAGAGAACUCUUCAGGGACUCUAUGAAAAGAUGGAGGAAUCCCAUGAAAAGGGUUCUUAGGGAUUUCCAAACCAUGACAUAAGCUCUUCAUUUUGUUCCCUAUAUCGUACCAAUAAGCCCAAACAUCAAAUUCUUCUAAAGCCUUUUUAGUUACAUACCUGAAAUCACCUUCAAUGUUCAUUAUCUCAUGAUUACCAUUCAAAGUUAUCAACUGCCCACCACUUUUAACAGCUUCACGCUUCAACUUUUCCAAGAAAUAAAGGAUCUUGAGCUCUUCCCCACCACGGUCAAGCACGUCACCAAUCUGAACAACGGUGGUAGACCCACCGCACCAACGAUCAGACCCAUCAAUGAGGCCGGCGAGACGGAAAGCUUGCUUGGAUUUCUCGAGAUCUCCAUGGAGAUCCCCAAUGGCAACGAGACGGUUUGGGGAAGGGUAAUGAGUUUGAAGAGGUUGUUGAGGAAUCUGUUGCUGUUGGGGCAAGAAAAGGCCACUGACUGAAAAGUCUACGAAGGUGUCGACGAAUGAAGAAAGGAAUGAAGGAAGGUUUUCGCAUGUUAGUGAUGAUGAUUGGUUUUGUCGUUCCAUUUUUUGAUGAUUUGUGCUUCUUUGAUGCGUUCGACAAUGGGGCAUAUGUAAGUUCAUUGACUGAAAAUGGUGAAAGUCUCGCAAGCACUGUAAAUAGGCUCACAGUGAGCCCAAUGGGUAUUUAAUUGGAUGGUUAGCCUUGAAUUUGGACCCAAUGACUCUUCAUGAGAUAAAAAAGGGGGGCGUUGAGCUACGCCUGCAUGAACCAAAGGCUUAAAAUAAAACCUUUUUAACCGCAACCAGAAACCCUAUAAACCCUAACAUCUAUUUCUCUCUGUGGCUCUGUCCCUUUCUUAAAUCAAAUUGACCAAAAAAAAAAAAAGAAAUGGAUCAUAUAGCAGCAGUAGAACAGCAAUUAGUUUCAGAAAGAAUGAGGAGGAAACUUAAUGAAGUAAAUAUCGCAGCCCAAGCUCAACUUGCUCCGGUCCAAGACCACAUCAAUUUCACUCUUCAGGUUUCCCUCUUUUUUACCCAAACUCAGAAUUUUACUCAUUUUCUUGGUCAUGUUUUAUUUUUUUCCAAUUUUCCCAUUGAUAAAAUCACCAUAACUUCAUGUUUUCCAUAAAAAUAUGAUUUCUUUGGGCUAUUUGAUUGCUUCUGGUAAAUGAGUUCUGUUUAGUCCUUGCUUCUGAAAUGUUAGAAUUAAGUCGAGAUUUAGAGGCUAAAGCUUUGAACCUGCUAGUUUUCUUAGAUAUUAAAAGUUACAUUAUCUUGGGCAUAUUAUUACAUACCAAGUUUGUUUAUUUCUCUGACUAGUUAAGAUAAUGACUUAAGCUUCUUGGUCGUGUUGACUUUUAUUUAUUUUGUUUAAAUUCGUUGUGAUGAUUGGUUGCAGCAAGCGUAUUUCAAAUGUGCAUAUGAAUGCUUUGAUAGAACAAGGAAACAAGAGGAGAUAAGCAAUUGUGUAGAACAUUGCAGUGUUCCCGUUGUUAAUGCUCAACAGCAUUUUGAGAACGAAAUGGCCAAGUUUCAAGUACGUUUCAUAUGUUCUCUAAUUUUCAUUUCAAGCAAACUACUCGGGCUGCAGUAUUCUCUUCAGUGAAAAGCUUUAAAUUUUCUUCAAUUUUUACUUCACUUUCUUGCUUCCACUCUACUUUUCUUCCUGUCCUUAAAAUUUAGGGACCUUGCACAGUUCCUUUCCUUAUGCUUUUUAUGCUUAUUCUGGAGCUUUAUUUAGAAGGGUCUUCUAAAGUUAGCAAAUUGAAUGCAUUGCCUCUUGAAUUUCUUCUUUCACUUAUAGGCAUAUUCAGAAAAUCUAAGUAGUUGAACAGAGAGAAUUUGUGGAUUGUAUGUGAUGGAAUGGCAAUACUAUCCCUUUCUUUGUUGUAUCUAGCAAGCUGCCCAUGGUUCUGGUUAAUGUUUGAGAAGUGUUCACAUUAUAAGUGGUGAGGCUGUGAGGCUGUGAUUCUGUGAAGCAUCAUUGGACUGUUAACCCUCUCUUCUGUUUAAUGAAUAUAGAAAUCUACUAUAAGCUACUGCCAUUUCGCUUCUGCCCUCCUUUUUUUUUCUUCUCUCUUACAGGAAACCAUAGUAAAUUUGAACUAGUUUCUGGAGAAGUAAUUGGCUAGUUUUUACAUUAAAUAAGGAGUAUUUACUAGAAAAUGCUCAAAUGCAGCAUAUGACAUCUUUGAGGUUAGUUUGUAAGUGCAGAAGAAUAUGCAAAUGGGAAAUAGUUGAGUGGAAUGCAAUUCGUAGUUUAGAUGUGCUGGAACUUAAUAUCUACCUUAGCAUCAUCAAUUUGGAGGUUGAAAUGGGGAACUUGAUGAUACGAUAAAAGGCCAGGAGAACGGAAUAUGCAACAAAGAAGAGGAAACUGAGUUAUUUUGAAAAAUAUUCUAUUUCAUCACUAUUUCCCUGUUGGUAUGAUGGUAUCUUAGAAUAACCAAUAGGAUUCUUUAUGUUUAUAUUCUGCUGUUCUUUUGACCUUUCAUCCAGAUAUUACACCAUAAUAAUUUAUUGAUGGAUAGUUGCUCUAAUGAAUGUAGGAAAGGUUAAAUCGAUCCUUGAUGGUCUGCCAAGACAAGUUUGAAUCAGCUAAACUUCAACAAAAUAAAGCCGAUGCAAUCAAUGAGUUGGAGUCAUGCGUCAACCAGUCGAUCGAGGAUAACAUGAAGACAUUGCCACACCUUGUUGGGAGAAUGAAGGCUUCUUUCAACAUUGGUCAUUGAGCCCAGAUGAGUAUUAGAAUAUUGGUUGUAACCCAUUUCUGUUUACUUAUAGAUUCUUAACUCAAAGCUUGAGAUUUUAUGGGAGGUGUCUACCUAACAAUGCCCUUAAAUUUAUGGCCAUCUGUGAUAAGGCUUCACAUAUUUUUUACAGUUGAACAAGGUUUCCUCUUAGCAGUUGAUUUUGGUUUAAAGUAAUACUUGAGAAGCUUCCUCCUGAUGCUUGUUUCAUGCGUUAAUUAAGAAACCUUGCUCUCUCAGAUAAUAUUCAGAUGACUGGAAUAGUUAAUUUACCGUUGCAGUAAAUGAUAAGUAAUUCUAUUUUUCUUCCCAGCCCCCUUAGGUUGCAGUCUCGUCUAUACAAGAAAAAAGUAUUCGUGUGGUAGGAUGUGUAAUAAAUACAUACAUAUAUACAUAUUCAAGCUUGGGUGCGAAUUAGACAAGUAUGUGUCUAACAUGAGUACCUUUAAUUUUUUUUGAAGUUUAUUUCAUGUAUAUGGUGUUCUUGUCUGAAUGCCAAACAUGGGUAGAUUUUUGACAUAAUUAUAUUCAAUUUCUUUUGAGAGUUUCACGUAUUUGUAAAGUCUUUGAAAGAUGAUAGGCAAUAUACAGGAACUUUAAGAAAUUGAAUUGGAACAAAUCGCUGAAAACAGUAAAAUGAACAAUCAAAAUGAAGAGUUGGAGCAACAUAAUUACCAAGUUCGGCAAAAUUCCUGUCAAGAACACCCAGUACUGAAUUGUCACUAACAAUUAAAAGAGGGCAGCAUAAUUCCAGUCAAGAAUUUUAUUGCUUUCAUAACUCAUAGUUGAAGAAUUUCAAGCAAUUGAUUGGAAAAACCGUUUUUAUUCAUCAAAAAAUACAGGGGACUUCAUUGCUCAGGUUGCAUUUUCUCACAUUCAUCUCGAAUAGAUUGGAAAAGCACCGAGGAGAGGUAUCGCUCGCCAAAGCUUGGAAAGACAACCUGAAAGUAUUCAAAUACUUAACGAGUCAUGCAUAUUACAUGUUUGAAAAUAGUACUAUUGCUACCAAAAGAGACAAGAAAAAGCGAACAAUAGUUGGUCAAAAGCAAGACAAUGUGUUCUAAGAAUGGGAACCAUGCUUUUAGAAAUGCUGAGAAGUAAAAGAAAGUGUAAAGAGUGGGAAUUAUACUUUUAGAGCAUCAAAGUGAACAAUAAAAGAAGAGGAAGGGGUUAAGGUCUGGAAUAAAACACCUAAUUAGGCAAGUUCGUUGACAUAACAUUAUAACAUUUAGGAAUUGGCUUCAGGCUGUUCAUAUUCAGAUGAGAUUUCUUAAAGGAAAGACCAAGUGCUGGCCUAGCAGACCACCAGCCAACUUCACAUGUAACCUUCAAUCCAAAGUACACUAUUCGGUGUAUGGAAGCUUCUAUUCACUUCCAAGUUCCAACCCCUACAUAAGUUCAACCUUUAUUUAACUUCUUCACAAGAAUAAAGCUAUAUUUCAUAUUUGUUAAUAUAAUGUAUGCCAACUAGCUUCCUAGUUAUAUUUGAUGCUUAUAAGUAUUCUUACUUGAAAACUGUAGGUCAUGUUCUUAAUAUAUGCAAAAAAAUACUUACUGCAAUCAGCUUCCCAGCAUUCUCCGGUCUUCUCCCCACCUUCAUUGCAGCAGCAGCUGCUGCUCCAGAAGAUAUCCCAACCUGAUAUUACAUAGUAUAAUGAAUCAAAUUAGCAAUGAAGGAAUAUUAUAGCACAUGCACAACAUGAUCUACAAACAGAAUUCAAUCAUCUCUUUUUUUUUCCUAGGGUUUUGAAAGUCUUAACUCAGACAAGAUGGCUUAUUUCCUGAAUGAACCAAGUCCAAGCAACCUUCCAAUUGUUUAAGAUUAGGUCAAGAUUUUGAGUUACUAAGGUCAUAUGUAGAAAGAGAAAUGACUUCUUCCCAUUUGUAUUUAUUUCCUAUUGCUCCUGUCUAAAAAGAAACUGCCUAUUGCUUGGACCAACAGUUGGUAAAGGACCAUUCAUUUUUGCUUUCAGUCCAAACUUCGUAGUCACUUCAAAGUUGAAGAAAAAUAACUUACCAACAAGCCUUCCUGAAGGGCUAAUUGCUUUGCAGUUUCAACAGCUUCAUCACUGGAAAUCUGUCAAUUCAAAUCCAUCAGAAGAAGGUAAAGGACCAUACAUGACUUCAAGAACUGAAGCCAUUAGAGAAACUUAAUACAAAGCAAAUCUCAACUACAACUUAGUUGAUACUAAGGCCACAUAAAAGUUGACUUACAGAAAUCACAAAAAUUUAGCCAGGAAGAAGGAAAGCAAAACUCAGACCUCUAUAACUUCAUCAACCACAUCUUGGUCCAAAUUCCCAGGAAUAAAACCAGCUCCAAUCCCUUGAAUCUUGUGAGGACCUGUAUUUUUUUAUAAGGGAGAGGUGGGGUGUCAAUAUAAGAUGCACAUUCCUAAAAAUUGACGCAUGAAAAUAACCUGUAUAUUUUUAUAAGGGAGAGGUGGGGUGUCAAUAUAAGAAGUAUCUUCUCUCACCAGGCUUUCCACCGGAAAGUAUGUUGCUCUCUGUAGGUUCCACACCAAUAACCUGAUACAUCCAAAGUCGAUACAAUCAGUCAACCAUUCAGUUGAAAAAAAGGCAAGGCCUGGCCCUUCUUGAAAAAGAAUUUCCUUCAAGAAAAUCAAUAGUAGGAGAUACUAAAAUUUCACUUUUCUUUUACCAUGAAAUUUCUAAAAAAAUUCUCCAAAAUUCAAUGCGAUGAUGUUCAGAAGGGCAUGUGAGAUAAAUGCUAUUCAGGGCCUGUUAAAAGCAGAAUAAUCACCUUAAUAUUGGGAUUCUUUUCUUUAAGGAAUCGACCAACUCCAGAUAUGGUUCCACCAGUUCCAAUCCCUCCAACAAAAAUGUCCACUUUGCCUCGGGUGUCUUCCCAGAUCUCUGGACCAGUUGUCUCAUAGUGUAUCUACAAAAGGAAACAUGAAUAUCAGUCUAUGGCCACAAAAGUCAGCAACGUAUAAUAAGGAGUGGUCGAUACAAACUUUAGGAUUUGCUGGAUUGUCAAAUUGUUGAAGCAUGUAGGCGUUGGGUGUGCUUUUCACAAUCUCUUCAGCUUUCUGAACAGCCCCCUUCAUGCCUUUUGCUGAAUCAGUUAAAACAAGCUCAGCUCCAAAUGCUUUCAGUAGAACUCUUCUCUCCAAACUCAUUGAUGCUGGCAUUGUCAAGAUCAGUCUAUAUCCUUUUGAGGCAGCUAUGAAGGCAAGGCCAAUGCCUGUGUUUCCACUUGUAGGUUCCACAAGAAUACUCUGAAACAUUUAAGAAGAAAUAGUGAGUAUCAAGCCAUAAGUACCAAAUUUAGUUGUUGUACAUAUACCAUAGAUACACAGAAGUCCCAUCUACGACCCAUUACCUUUCCAGGUGUUAUAAGUCCUCUUUGCUCAGCAUCAGAAAUCAUACUGUACCCUAUCCUGAAACCAAUUAAAAAAAGGAUAUUAAUCUCCUGAUCUUCCCUAUGAUUAAAAUUUUAAUGACGAAACAGAUAGUUUCAAGCCUCAUCGAAGAGAUUCUGGAAGUUCAAUUAAGAUAUAUGAAUACAUUUUGCUUGAGAAGAACCUAAUUAUCCAUGUACACGUGAAAUUCUUUAGAACCGAAAAUGCCAGAUUGAACACACCUUGAAAGAUACCCUUUUACCAGCAUCCAAAACUAUGCAAUAAUUAUAAAGACAUCAGCAUAGGGUUUGACAUAAAUAAAAGCCAUUUUAUCCUAGAUCUCAUGGUAAUGUUUUUUAACUAUUAGCAAACAAUGAGCUUGCUAACUAAUGCAUACAAGCUACAAUAUGCUUAUGAAAAGUUUGGCUACCUGUCCUUCACACUGCAACAUGGUUCCAUGAUCUCAAGCUUGGCAGCAAUAUUUGCAACAGAGCCUUUCACAAUAUUGUUCAAGUACACCAUUGGUGUUUUCCCAAUAAGCUGUGUUACAAAACAACCAAUAGAGAUAAAUAAAUAUCAGAACAAAACACAACAAGAAAUAAAAAGGUGUACUGAUUAAUAGAAAUUCAGUUCUUUCUCCAUUGAGAUGGCUCGUCUACAAGCAAAAUAGUAAUGUGUUUCAUAUAGAAAAACCAGACUCAGGCAAUGUAUUUUUAUAAAUAGAAGCAGUCACCAUGCAUCAGGUACAGAAGGACAACAGAAGCACUAAAUAUAGAGAAAGUGAAAAGAGGAAAAUUAGCAGACAAAGAAGCUUGGAAACCUUCAGACAACCGAAUGAAACUACCAUCCAAAAUCUAGCAUAUCUCAUACGGUAUAAGAAAACACCUUUUCUCCUUCCUUAGCUGGUAAUAAUAUAAAAUUUUGAAUGCACAAUUAAGUUUAUGUUAGCCAACACAAUCAAGAACAUAUUGCGAUCAUAAUCCAAUGCCUCAUCUCUUUAUUACCUAAUAAAUGGUGACAGAAGAAAAGUGAUCAAGGAAAACAAAUUCCCUCAUUUAGCACAAUAGACCAGCAAAAAAAAUUUUAGAGUUCCCAAUGUGUUUUGAUGAUAUGAAUCAUUUCUAAACAUAAACUGAAGAAAUAAUCUUUCUGGGUGCUAAAGAAGUAGUCUUAACUCACUCAGAUAUACGACAUCCCGAUGAAAGGAACAAAGAACUUCAAUUGAGCUAAUCCUAAUACUAAUCUAAGACUACUACAGACAGGAAAGCACAAAAGCCCGACUUUUUCGGUUUUUAUCUUCAUUAAUUUACACAGUAUUCACAAAAUUGGAAUUGUAGAGCAAUUGAAAUUGAGAAAUUCAUAAAAAAAAAAAAAAGGUCUUACUCGGUGCCAGUUAAAAACACCUUUUUACCAAAAAGUUUCCUCUAAAUGUAAAGACUAAUUCUACAAAUCCCACAAUUCGACCACGGAGAACAAAAUUCACUCCUACGCAACAGUACACUAAGAUUCGAAAAAGUAAAAACCAUACCAUCCUCCGUAGAAAUUACCCAAAUUCUCAAAAUUUAAUUCAGAAAAUAUAACAAAAAAGAAAA
rnacentral:lncRNA from 1 species